AUGUUUCAAAACUUGCCCUCAAGUUUUGGAAUUUAAAAGUUGAUUAAAAGUUUAAUUAGGAAUGUUAAAUUCUAAAACCCUAGUAUUGUUUUGAAAAAGUUCAAAUCACACCCUUAUGGUUUUAUUAAUUAAUUAAGGUGUAUAAUUAAAAGAGGUUUAAUAAAUCCAUAAAAGUUUAGGUUUACAAUUUAAUUGAAUUAAAAGUAUAAUUGUUAAAUUUGACCACCUAGUAUUUUAAAAGUGUAAAAUACACCCUAUACUAUAUAUAUAACAUUAAAAGUCUAACAUUAUAUAUAUGUAUGAGUAAAAGUCAGUCUUACCGUUAGUAGGCCUCAUUCACGAAGCUGGUCUAUAAGGGGUGUUUAAGGAAAUUGCCUAUAAAAUGGCGAUUGAAUGGGUAUCCACUCUUACCCACCGCACUCUUGACUAGUGGAGGGUCGUUAGCCGAACGGGUAGGAUAGGACGAAACCUUCCAUUAUAAGUAUAAUGAAUUAUUAAAGUAACUAAAUGUUUUCAAAAAAUUCCCAAUCUUAGUUACUUAGGCAAAAGUGAAUUGAUGCAAUUCCAUGAAAUUACACUUUGUGCCCUUGCGAAGACGUUAGUGGAGCGUGUGUGGUUUACCGGCACACUAAAUGGUUCUAAGCAAAGGUAGCAAAGGGUGACUCAAUGUUUGUCAUAGUUCGGUGGAGCGUGUGUGGUUUACCGGCACAUCGAAUAGGUGACUGUAACAUGUGAGGGCACCAUGUAAGUUUGCAUGGUUAUUCACACCCGCUUUGUGAUCCUCGGCAUCCCAGUCACAAACAAGAGGGGCAUAUCGAGAUUUAAACAUGCCAUUGAAAGUUCAAUGAAUCUCAAAGGAUCUAGGAGUUUUCAUAGAUUUAAAACUUAAAUUUCUUUUUCGUUUUUCAUGGUGGAAAUUAGUGAAUCGUCAUUCACUUACCUUCAAAUAUUCUGCAAUUAGGGUUACGGCAUCCCUCUCCCGAGUUGUAGAAUAUUGUGUUGGGUCCUAGCCUUAGUAUCUCAUUUGGGUGAUUUACUAAGGACUCAAUCAAUCAACUAACUUGAAUUCGUUUUCUCCCGUUUUGUAGAUGUCAAAGUUCGACAACUAUGGUCUUCCCAAAUCCCGUGGAACAAGCAUUCCACAUGAAGAUGAUAUUCCACGAUUCGAUCGAGGAACAAGAAAUCAUGCUUCACUUCCUCCUCCUCCUCCAAUUAUUCUCCCUAACCCACAAGUUCAAAGGCUUGAAAAGUUCAAGAUCACUCAAGCCCUUUUGGCAAGUAAACAUAAAGAAGGAAAGUCGGUGUGUGCACACGUCCUAGGGAUGAAGUCACACAUUGAUAGGUUAAGAAUGUUGGGAUCCGUUGUCUGUGAGGAAAUGGCUGUUGAUUGGGUUCUUCAGUCACUUCCUAACUCAUAUAGUGAGUUCGUAAGAGAGUACUAUAUGAUGAACCGCGACGUGACCCUUAUAGAUCUCACCUAUAUGCUUAUUGCUGCUGAAUCAGCAAUGGUUUGGCGCAAUAGAAAAGCAAAGUUGAUUGGUGAAUCUGCCUUCAAGACCUCUAUGGAUAUAGACAAUGGCAACGAAAGACAUGCUAUGAUCGAAAAGUUUGAUCAUAAGAGAAAGGCAAUGUCUGAAGUAGUUCCAUGUCAUGUUCCAAAAGAGUCAAUUUGCUUUUAUUGCCAAGAGAAAGGGCAUUGGAGACGAAGCUGCCCCAUUUACCUAAGAGAUCUAAGAGAUGGGAGAGUCGAAACGUAUGGCUCUAAUAUAGGUAAAAUCCAUUAACUAACUCUUUUAAGCUUCUAUUCUAGAUUCUUAAUACAUAAUGUGAUAAGAUUACAAUUGAUGUUUUGUAGGAUCGAAGAAAAGAAAGGAAGCUUAAGGGAAGAAGUGAGCAGAAUCUAACCGUGAAGGAAUGGAUUUCGAUCGCAUUUCUCGAAGAUUAGAUUCUUGAGCUACUACUUAGAGUUAGAAUUAGAUUGCUAAGAAAGAUGUAUUAGCAUAGUUUUUCAAUGAAUUGCAUUGUAAGGACAAAUUUUUUCCGCAAUAAAAUAAAUUUUGAUUUUAUAUUAUUUAUUUAUCCUUGCAAUGGCGUAUAUGAAAAAUUGAUGUUUGAAUGUUUCUAUUAUUAGCAAUAAUGGAUUUGGUUCUUAUUAUGUUAUUUAUGGAAAGUCGAGAAUUUACCAAAUAGGGAGAGUUUCUCAUCGCCCAAGUUUCAAUUGGACAGAAACUUGGAAUCAUGCAACUUGGUUGCACGAUGAAUGAGAAAUUUCAUAUUUGGAAAUUAGACUAAUUCAUUGACAAAGUGUCAAGUGAAGGACUAGGAGAUCGAGUACACAAAGUUGCGUGUUGAUCAAGUCCACCAUAAGAGUAACAAAGAUAUUCGUCAUGAUUUACUAAAGGUUUAGUAAAUAUGAUUAUACUUACAAGAUUAAGUGUAAUUCUGAAUUGAUUGAAAAAGUUUAAAUCAAUAGCAGAACGAAUAAGAAGAAUCAAGUAGGCAGAAAGAUAAAAGUUUCUCCAUUCUAAGAAGAAGGGAGAGUACCUUUUAUGCUUUAUGAUAGGUCUUAAUGAUUAAGAACCAUAUCUCAAUUGAUCCUCUAAGUGAGUCUUAGUACAAUUGUAUGUCUAAGAAGAGGAAUCAAGAAUUGAAGAAAUGGUUAAAUCAAGAAGUCAAUCAUACUUCGUUCCAAAACAAGUCUUAGAGUUAAGAUUGUGACAUUGAGUGAUAAGUAUUAAGAAGGUUUAUAACAUUCAUCAAAUGUGGAAAGUUGUGAUGUCUUGGAUAAGACAAAGACCAACUAGGACCAAUUUAUGAAGUGUUUUGAUAAAAGCUACACUAACUCUUGAAUAUUUGUUUGUCAAGAAAUGUUUAUUGACAAGAGAAUCUUAUAUGUCAAGGAGUCAGUGGGAGUCUUAAUGGUCUUGAAAGGUUUCAAGAACAAAUCAAAUAAACCUUAUCGAUCAUCACUAGCACACGAGUUGAGGUUUACAACCUAUCGUGUUGACAUUAUUUUGUUUCUGUGCCAAUCCAAUCGAGUUAAUUAUGCAUGUGAGUUCUAUGAGUUCUCAUUUUGAACGCAUAAAAGGCAAAGCACCUUAAUCAAUGAAAGGUACAUUGAUAGGAAAGGGUGAGCUGCUUAACUACUUGGAAGACAUGGUGGGCAGCUGUGCUACCAUAAGGCAAGAAAUCAAGAUUAAGAAAGUUCGGUCCAUAUGAGUUUGAAUUUGUCGUAAACUUUGGUUUUAACAAAUUCACAUGGAUAGGAACACAUACACCGUUUAAAUCUAAGUGUCAUAAGAUUUCCUCCUUCAUGAAAAUGAUUGUGAGGAAAUGCUUUCACUAAGAAAGAUUUUAAGAAGAUAGUGAUUGUAAAAUUGCAUUCUCGAAUUCGAUCAUGGUUACGGUAUCCCUUUCCAUGAUUUGAAUUGUGAGGUUUGGCAAUUAGUCUUAAUUGUUUAGACACACAUAUGAACUAUCUAAGGAAAAGGUGUAUAAGUUCAAAAAGGCUUGAUAAAUGGUUAUCAAAGCAUUAAAUAUUAGAAACAUGGACUUAUGAAAUUCAAUAGUUAUUGUUUUUCUGAAAGUUAAGAUGUUUAUGAAUACAUGUCGAAGCUAGUGGGAGCAUAAGUUAUGUUUCUNGUUAUGUUUAUAAUAAUCAUCAUGAUAGUGGGAGCAUAAAUGUUAUGAUUGUAUGAUUAUUAAGGCACGUAUUGCAAGUUGGCAAUAUUAAUUAUAGAAAACAAGAGUUAUACCUUGCAAAGUCGUAAGGGUUGUAAAGUUGUUUUGCUAUAAUUAAGGGAGAGAAUAUUAUGCUUCAUUUCAAAUCUAAAGGCUUAGGUUGUGGAAUGUUAAUAAAUUUAGUCAAAGGUACAUAGUGUGUUCUUAAAAUUUCGAUUAUGAUUACAGCAUUCCUCUUCACAAUUCGAAUUUUGAGAACAUAGCAAAUAAAAUAUUAUGGCAGAAGAUUGAUAAAGUAUCAAAUCUUUAUGUAAGACAUUAUGCAUCGUGUCCCAUACGCUUCGGGUAUAGGAUCGAUUGCAAAUGCUAUAAUAUUUGACCAUUCUAAAAUUUUCCAAAUGUCUAGCGCAUUUAGAGGGAAAAAGGACAAGAAUUGGUUUUGACUAAGAUAAUUAAACAACUAUCAAAGGACAAUCCAAGCUUUGUCGAGGAUUGGUCGCUUGUGAGUAGAUGGAAGUAUAGUAUUGGAAAAUAUGGAAAUGUUUCCAUAUUGGAUGAACCAUAUCGACACUAUUAUGAAUAGAUAAGAUUCUAAUAAGAAUAAGUUGUCAUAUGAAAAAUAUGGAAAUGUGUCCACAUUGGGAAUUGAAUUUUGAAAAUCUAUGUCUAGAUUAGAAACUUUUAUGCAAAAAGAUGUUCAAAGGAAUGUACUUUGAGUGAGAGAGAUCAUAUCUAAGGAAUUGUAUUGUAACAAUCUCCAAUAGAGGACUUUUUGAUAUCAUUGGCAAUAGUCUUUAUGACUUUGGUGCAGUGACAUUAUGAAAGGAUCAUUGCAUAAAAUGUUAGAAUCUAAUAUAUUCUAUACGUGGCAAGAAUUUGAUAUUCUUUUACUUAUAGAAAGGGAUUAGCAGUUGUGAAAUGAGAAUGAUUGGAAGUGUGUUCAAUUUGAUCUAUUUCACAAAGUAAGAACCAUAGGUAAACAUUGUGUGCAUGCUAAGAGCAUGGGACAAGUGUAAUAAUUCAAGUAAGAAGUUGAUUACCCGAAACGACAAAUAAUGAGUAAUCGAUAUGGUGAUAAAUAAAAGGUGUUUUAUUUAUACUCAAAGGUUUGAGGCCAUAUGGGAUUAGUAUUAUUCUUGUGUUUCACUUUGCAUGUUUUGACUUCCUGAAUAAUUUAAUUGGUUAAGAACAGUCAAAUUAUUCGAACGGGCCACAGUCGUUCAUAUGUUGGAAGUAGGUAUGAAUGAAGACUGUCGUGAAUUGGUGUGUGGAUUGUCUAAAGAGUAUUAGACAUAAGCAAAUGUUUGCUGCAACGUUCAUGAGUGCUUAUGAAUAUGAUUUGAGCAUUGGAUUAAACCCACGCUCACUUGGAUCACUCCAUGAAUUGUAUCACGAGUGAUUGGUGAGACGAUAACAUCUUAUAUUCUUGAAACCGAGAUGUGUGAGUUGUAUCUUGCAAAUCGGUUGCACAUUGAUAAUAUGUAAACGCACUAGUAACUUGGUGUUAUAAAACAUAUUGUUGUGUGUGAUUCGGUGAGUAAGUGCAAGCAAGCAUUGUAUCAAAGUUUAUCCGUUCCUUUUAUCCAAAGUAGGAUAAAAGCGAUAUCUUUGGGCCCCUCGAUGAUUUAGUGAUGACAAACGUAAAUGCUCGGCCGGGCUAGGGCUAAUUUGAUUUGUUCAAUUAGUCAGUCGUCAUAAAUCGGGAAUCGAGAUAUAGUACAAAGAGAAUGAUUUGAAAUCAUAUCUCAUAUGAUAUCUAGAAUGGAGGAAUAUAUGAUCCCUUAUCUAAGGACACGCGUAUCUGAUAGGAUCAGAGUUGACAGCGGCUUUGGAAAGCUACGAUUGCAGAUCAGGAUCUGAAGUCAUACGCAUAAUAGUUAUUAGACUUAUCCAAGUGGGAGACUGUUGGAUUAGUGUCUAAGUCCAUAACUAUUUUGGUAUGUACUUGACCCGAUGGUGCAUGGUCCUUUUGGGUUGCCUUCACCAAAGCAACUUGAUAGGAUGAAUUAUGGAGAGAAAGGAUUAAAUAUGAUUUAUUAAUAUAUUAUGAGAAUAAUAUAUUAAAGGAGAAAUCAUAUUGUUUAAUUAAUAUUAGUCAAUAAUUAAUUGGUAAUUAGUUUUGUGACUAAAAGAGAUUAAUUAAACUUAAGGGAUUGGAAUUGUAAUUAUAAGAUAAUUGCAAUUUGGGCCAUGGAUUGCCUUAUAUUAAGGAGUGGACGAAUUCUAUGGGGAAACCCAUAAGGAAAUCAUCCAAGGCCUUAAGGAAAGGGAUCCAUGGGUUUGUUAGGGCUUUAGCAUCCAAAUUAGGGUUUCCUUGUUAGAUAACCCUAAUAGCCUAACUAUAUAUACAUCCCUUAUGACCCAAAAACGUGGCUAAGACUUCUUCUAGGGUUUCACACGUUUUAGGGCAGCCUCCUUCACCUCUCCUCCACAUCCCCUUGCUCAUGGUGUUUGUGAACCAUUAGAGGAGUGACAUUUGUGACUCUAAGCUUUCUAAAGUCAAUACAAGGAGGAAUUGGGAUUCUUAUUGCUACAUAACAAUCAAGGUAUGAUCUAAACCCUUAUUUAUAUGUUAUAUUGAUUAUUAUAUCCUAGAUCUAGGGUUUAUAGUCUGGUAUAACUUGCAUGCACAAUAGAGAAACCUAGAUCCAAGCAUUAGGGUUUGUAAGAGCACAUAGGAUGUUCUUAUGACCAAAACCCAUCAGCUACAAGGGACAAUAAGCAUGAAAACAGAGGGAAAUUGGGUUAUACCUCAAGGAAAUCACUAAGAUAACCAAAAUAUGCCUUGCCUCCUUCUUCUCUUCUUGAUCUACUCUCCUUCCCUCUCCAAAUCUUCAAGAAAACACACCAAAAUGCUUCAAUCUCACAAGGAACAAGGCUUGAACGAAGUAUAAGGCUCAGAGGGUGAAGGGGGCGAGCUUAGGGGCGGAUAAGAGGGUUUAAAUAGGGUGCAAACCCUUGAAAUUUAGGGUUUCAUCAGACAGCGGGGACUCACCGAGUCCAGAAUAUGGACUCGCCGAGUCGCCAACUUAAACGUGUUCCGGAUCCCGUGUCUACUCGGCGAGUCAGACCAACAACUCGCCGAGUCCAAGGCUAAAAGUGAAAAACACUAAGAUAAAUUUUACGUACCAAGAACCAAGUGCUACAGUUUUCAUAUAACAACUGAAGGUGAUACGUUUAUCAGUGAUAGUACAUUGAUAAAUUUGGAUGAACCUAAUAACUACAAGGAAGCCAUAGCAGGCCCCGAGUCCGAAAAAUGGAAACAGUCUAUGGACAGCGAUAUUCAGUCCAUGUAUGACAAUCAAGUUUGGAACUUGGUUGACAAUGUACUAGGUCCUACAUUGAGACCUUCUCACCAAUAGCGAAAAUUAAAUUUAUAAGGAUGAUGCUAGCCAUAGCUGCAUUUCAUGAUUAUGAAAUAUGGAAAAUGGACGUCAAAACUGCUUUCCUUAAUAGGAAGUUGGCUGAAGAUGUUUACACGAGUCAGCCGGAGGGUUUUGUCAAUGCAAAGUAUCCUAAUGGACUGUGCAUGCUUGAGAAAUCCAUUUAUGGAAUGAAACAAGCAUGUCACAGAUGGAAUCUUUGUUUUGAUGAGAAAGUCAAAGAGUUUGGAUUUUCGAGAACCGAGGAUGAGUCAUGUGUAUAUGUCAAAUUUAGUGGGAGUAUAGUUAGCUUUCUGGUGUUGUAUGUGGAUGACAUACUUCUCAUAGGAAAUGAAAUUCCAACUUUGCAUGAGGUUAAGUCCUCGCUUGGGAAGUAUUUCGCUACAACGAACCUCAGGGAAGCUGCUUAUAUUUUAGGGAUAAGGAUAUUGAGAAAUAGGAGUAAAAGACUAAUAGGACGUUGUCAAAGUACCUACUUUGACAAAGUGUUGAAGUGUUUCAACUUGGAUAAUUCCAAGGAAGGUGAUUUACCUAUCCAAACAAUACCAAAUUGAUUAAGACUCAGAGUCCAACUACAGAGGCCAAGACAACAGAGAUGAGUCGAGUACCAUAUGCUUCCGCAGUUGGCUCGAUCAUGUAUUAUAUGAUUUGUACUCACCCUGAUGUGGCAUUUGCUUUGAGCAUGUUCAGUAGAUAUCAAGGUAAUCCUGGUAAUGCUUACUGGACUGCGGUAAAGAACAUUUUUAAGUACCUGCGAUGGACUAAGUACUCGGUCCGUACCCUCAAUGGGAGUGAUGACUUAGGAGUGAUAGGGUAUAGUCAUGCCAACCUUCAGGCCGACAUAGAUAAUUUCGGCUCUCAGUCGGCUUGGGUAUUUACCUUGAAUGGAGGAGCAUUAACUUCGAAAAGUUCCAAAUAGGAGACUAGUUGAUUCAACGUGCACAUCAAAGUACAUAGCAACAAGCGAAACGUCGAAGGAGGCGAUAUGGCUGAAGAACUUCAUCAAAGACCUUGGAGUUGUACCAACCAUAAAGGAGCCUAUGGAGAUUUUAUGUGACAAUGAGAGUGCGGUUGUCUUAACCAUGGAACCAAGGGAUGUUGACAUAUCCAGGCAUGUCGACAGAAAAUAUCACUACAUAAGACAUUGGAUAGAAGAAGGACUCCUUGUAGUAAAGAGGGUUAAGCACUUGCAGCAUGCGAGGAACAUUGCGCUAAUGGACGAUAUUAGUUUUUAUGAUUAGUUCAGAAACUUGUAAUAGAUAAAAUGUAAUUGAAAUUUGAUGAUUAAAUUAAAGGAGUAUUAUUUAUGAGAAAAUUUACUAUCUUGUGUCAAUUGUUUACUAUUGUUUCAUUUUGCAUGUUUUGACUUCCAGAAUAAUAAGAUUAUUCAAACUAUCCACAAUCGAUCAUAAUUUGGAAGUAGGUAUUGAGGAAAUACAUUCAUGAAUUUGGCUUGUAGAUUGUCUAAAGUGUUUAGACAUAGCAAAAAUUUGCUACAACAUUCAUGAGUACUCCUGAAAUAAGAUUUGAGUAUUAGACUAAACCCACGCUCACAUGAAUCACUUCAUGGAAUUUAUCACGAGUGAUUGUGAGACGACAAUAUUAUAUAUUCUUCAAACCAAGAUCUGUUAGUUGUUGACCAUGAGUUGGUUGUACGUUGAUAGUGCGAAAAAGCAUCACUAACUUGAUGUUAUAAAACGUGCUAUUGUGUAUGACUUAACGAGUAGUUAGUACAAACAUAUAAGUCGAUGUUUUUCUGUUCCUUUUAUCUUUGGAGGAUUAAAAGCGGUAUCGUGGGCUCCUCGAUGGUUUUGUUUUGACUUAUGUAUUGGGCCCAGUCAAGACUCAGUUGAUGUGUUCAAUUAAGUUCUAUGUCAAAGAAAUUGCAAAUCGGGAAACAAAUUGAUGGACAAUAAGUAUGACUAUGUUCCUUGUAUUUGUCUGCAUGAUAUCUUGAACAACAGAGGAUUAUAGAAUCCCUUAUCUAAAUGGUGUGUCAGAGUUCGACAACGGCUUUUAUGAGCUACGAUUGCUAGUCGGUUUUUAAGUCGUACAUUCAAUUAUAGUAAUUAGACUUAUCCACGUGGGAGACUGUUGGAUUAGGUGUCUAAGCGCACAACUAUAAUUGGUAUGUACUUGACCUGAGAGUAGCAUGGUCCAUUUGGGUUGCAUUCACUAGAAGAAUCUGAUAGGAUGGACAUUUGAGAAAGAGGUUAUUUAUUCUUUAUUAAGAUAUUAUAAGUAUAAUAUAUAAAUUGAGAAAUCAUAUUAUUUAAUUAGUAUUGAUCAAAAAUUAAUGUAGUGAUCAAAAGAGAUUAAUUAGUUUCAUAGGGAUUGAUUAUGUAAAUUAGUGAUACAUAUGGUUUGGGCUAUUGAUCCAUGAUGGGCUAAGUUUAUGUGAGAGUCUAUAAAGAGUUAGUCCACAUGAGUUAUGGAUCAUAAUCCUAAGUGUAAGAAUUAGGGUUAUAUAUGACUCUUGGAAUUCUAACACUAUAUAUGUAACACCUUAGACCCCAAAAUCGGAUGCACAAGCCAUAUAGCAAGAGUAUAGCCGAUUUUACAGUGCUCCUAACCUGUCUCUCAAGUCCUCCAAUUGUUGGUGGUUUUUUAUGAAGCAUUUGAGGCAUCACACUUGAGGUGAUAUGCUCUUAAAGACCAAGUAAUACAAGCUACAUAAAGAGGUAAUUUUCUAACUAGUUUUAUGAUUCAUAUAUCAGGUUGUACGCUAGUUAGGCUUCAUGCUUUCGAAAAAUAAAGUUGCAUUUAUAACCAGAGAAAACGUAGAUUCAAAGCAUUAGAGUUGUAUGUGCACCAUAGGGAUCUUAUUGUGAUCAAAACCCAUCAAAAAGAUGGUUCUUUAAGGAUGUGUAUAGGCUAUCAAGAAUUGAAUAAACUAAUAGUCACAAACCGUUAUCCACUCCCUACAAUAGAUGACCUAUUUGAUCAACUCCAGGGAUCUAGUUACUAUUCAAAGAUAUAUCCAAGAUCCGAAUAUUAUCAGUUAAAAAUACUAGAAGCAGAUGUUCCGAAAUCUGCAUUUAGAACUCGAUACGUUCACUACGAUUUUAUAGUUAUGCCCUUCGGAUUGACCAAUGGACCAGCAGUAUUCAUUGACCUCAUGAACCGUCUAUGAAAACCAUACAUAGAUAAGUUCGUUAUAGUGUUUAUCGACGACAUUCUCGUCCAUUCACGAACUAAAGUGGAACACGGUCAACAUCUGAAAUUGAUCUUGGAACAGCUAAGAAAGGAAAAAUUGUACGCAAAAUUCUCCAAACGUGAAUUUUGGAUUAGAGAAGUACACUUCCUAGGUCAUGUAGUUAAUAACAUAGGAAUACAUAUGAAUCCCACAAAAAUCAAAGUAGCUAAGAAUUGGGAUGCACCAAGGACACUAACUGAAGUGCGACAAUUCUUAGCCCUUGCCAGCUACUCUAUGACAUUCAUAGAGAACUUUUCCAAAGAUAGCCAAGCCACUCACUACAUUAAUACAAAAAGAAAUAAGUUCGACUGGGAGAUAAGCAAGAAAAUACAUUUCAGAAGUUGAAACAGAUGCUGUGUAGUGCACCAAUCCUAUCAUUACCUGAAGGAAUCGAAGAUUUUGUCGUAUACUAUUAAUGCAGAAGGAGAAGGCCAUUGCAUAUGCCUCCCGACAACUCUAGAUCCAUGAAAAAACAACACAACCCAUGACCUAGAAUUAGGAGUAGUAUUCUUUGCCUUGAAGAUUUGUAGACACUAAUAUAUGGAAUGAAAUGUAUUAUUUUUACAGACCAUAAGAGUCGCCAACACAUACUUGAUCAAAAGGAACUAAAUAUGAGGCAAAGAAGAUGGAUUGAGUUAUUGAACGAUUACGAAAGCGAGAUUCCAUAUCAUCCGGGAAAAGUGAAAUUUGUAUAUUAUGAUUUAAGUCAUAAAGUGCAUAAGAAACUGUGACGAGUAAAGGCACUAGCUAUGACCAUACAUUACAACCAUAAUACACAGAUUCGUUAAGCUCAGGUAGAUGAUCUGAAAGAGGAAAGUGUUGGGGAAGAAUCUUUAUGGGGAAUAGAUAAACAUUUCGAGCUUAAUGAUGAUGGAACUCGUUAUUUCAUGCACAAAAUCUAGGCACCAAAGUUUGGUAACAUUAGAAGCUUGGUCAUGGACGAAGCUCACAAAUCAAGGUAUUCUAUACAUCUUGGCUCCGACAAGAUGUAUCUAGAUCUAAAGAAAUUAUAUUGGUGGCCUAAUAUGAAGGCUGAGAUUGCCACUUAUGUGGGCAAAUGCCUGACUUGCUCUAAAGUCAAGGUAAAGCAUCAAAAGCCCUCAGGAUUACUGAAACAACCAGAUAUUCUCGAGUGGAAAUGGGAGCAAAUUGCAAUGGAUUUUAUCUCAAAGCUGCCCAAGACUCCUAGUGGUUAUGACAAUAUUUGGGUAGUGGUUGACAGUUAACUAAGUUUGUCCAUUUCCUACCAAUCAAGGAAACCAACAAAAUGGAAAGAUAACGAGAACAUAUCUCAGGGAAAUUGUCAAGCUUCAUGGAGUGCCAACCUCUAUUAUCUCGGAUAGGGAGAGUAGGUUCACAUAAAGGUUCUGGCAAUCACUUCACAAAUCCCUAGGAACCCACUUAGAUAUGAGCACAUCUUACCACCCACGGACUGAAGGUCAAAGUGAACGAACCGAUCAGACCCUAGAAGAUAUGCUACAAUCUUGUGUAAUUGAAUUUCAAAAUUCUUGGGAUACUCAUUUCCGUUGAAUGAGUUUUCCUAUAAUAAUAGUUAUCACACCAGCCUCAAAGAAACACAAUUUGAAGCUUUAUACGGACACAAAUGUCGAUCACCUAUAUGUUGGGCAGAGGUCGGGGAUACCCAACUGGCCCACGCACACACAAAUGACACACUGUGUACUGGGAAGAUAUAAUCCAUGAAACGACCAAGAAGAUCAAUCAAAUCAAGGAUCGGAUUAAGACAUCAUGUGAUCGUAAAAAAAGUUAUGCUGAUAUAAGGUCUAAGCCUCUAGAAUUCCAAGAUGGAGAUCGAGUGAUGCUAAAAUUCUCGCCCUGGAAGGGUAUGAUUCAUUUUGGCAAAAGAGGAAAGCUUAAACCAAGAUACGUUGUACCUUUCGAAAUUCUUGACAAAAUUGGUCUUGUUGCUAAUCGGCUAAAACUACCUCAAAACUGAGCAAAGUACACGACGUAUUCCAUAUAUCCAACCUGAAAGAGUGUCUUUCUGAAGACACCAACAUAAUACCUCUUGACGAGAUACAACUAAACACAAAACUUCACUUCGUUGAAGAACAUGUGCAAAUUAUGGAUCGAGAAGUGAAGUGGUUAAAACAAAGUUGUAUUCCUAUCGUGAAAGUUCGUUGGAACUCUCAACGAGGACCAUAAUUCAUAUGGGGACAUGAUGAACAGUUUAAAAAGAAAUACCCCCAAUUAUUUAGUGAUAUCCCAUCUAAAAGUUUAAUUUUGCGAUGAAAUUUUUUUAACAGGGAGAGAAUGUAACAAUUGGCAAAAAUAGAAAUGAUCGUACGAUACUACAUUUUGACUUCUAAGCAAUAUGAACAUUUUAUCAAAAAUGGCUGAAGGAAUUUAACAUGUUUUAAUCAGAUAAGUUCUUGUGAAAAAUAAAACAAGUAACUAAUGAUAAAUUCCGUUACGACGUAUGACAACGAACCAUUACCGGUUUGUGAAAAUUAGCAUAUAACAUCAUUUCAACGCAAAAAACUUAAUUUUUUUAUCCACAUGUCUCUAAUUGAUGAGUAAGUUCAAUUCUAUAUAAAACGUGUGCUUAUUAGUUGUGAAGGAUCUAAAUUUAACAAAUAUACAAACCAAAGUGAUGAAACGUGUUUAACGAUAUUGUUUACCGGUAAAAUCUCACGAAAUUAUACCUUGAUCAAUAAAUUUUAUAUUUAACUAAAAAUAUAAAAUGAAUUAUUAUAAGGCAUAAUUAGAAUGUAUUUAAGUGUUUUUUAAUAAAAGAAUAAAACAUCAACAUUUAAGUUCAAAUACACCAAAAUUACAUUGUUAUUUUAUACUAAGAAUACAUCUAUGUAGUUGGACAUAUGUAUUUUUAUCUAGUGGAUGACUAGUUAUGGGUCAUGAAUUGAAGUGAUUUGAUGUAAUGGAUAUUGUGUCUUAAUCAAUUAAGAUAAGAGAAAUGGUUAAGAGAAGUGCCAAGUUAACUAAUAACUGCUUAAUCACUUAAGACAUUUUGCUAAGAAUACUUCUUAAUACUUCUAAUUUUCGAGAAUUCCACAUUCCCUCUCCAUAACUAGAACUCCUAACUACUAACUAACUAAUAACUUGUUAGUUAACUAAAUCCUAUCUCUAACAAACUAACUAGGAAAGUAUGUAGAAAAGAUCAAAUCUAAUCAUUCAUCACAUCCCAUCAAAUCUAGCCUAAUUGAUUCCAUCUUAUCUUCUUCUCUUCUUUCCCUACAAACCUAGANUAGAAACCUCUCUCUCUCUUUCUCUCUCUCUCUCUCUCUCUCUCUCUCUCUCUCUCUCCUUUAUUCUUUCAUUCUUCAGAAAAUAAUCUAGGGAAAUUCUCUCAAAGAUCAUCCCAUUUCAGCCAUACAAACUUGCUUCCAAAGUCAUCGAAACAAUGAACCUUAAGGGGCUGCUGUCCGUUUUCUUCUAUUUCAUCCCAUUUCAGCCACCGUUUCUUCUAUUUUAGUCCGUUUUCUAGAUAUUUUCAUCACCAAAUACCCCUGGAAGUUAUUUCUUAUGCCAAUCUAAACUAGGGACUCAAAAUAGUGACUAAAUUACUCUUUUUCUUACCUUCUUGCUGUGAAUUUUCGUGACAACAACAUAGCCAAAACAGCGACUGUUUUCGAGCAUCAAACUAACACCCAAAAGUUCUUCAUCUUACUAACUAUUUUCGUGAUUCAAAGUAGACCAUAUGUAGGUACUUUCAAACACUUAAAACCCCUGAGAAAGUUACCCUUCACCUCUCAAACAACUUGUGUUUUCCACCACCUUUUGGCAACAUACUUUAGAUCCAAGUGAAAGCAAGGUAUAUUCUUGAUUUCUACUCUUUCUUUUUAUCAUCAAGUCCAUGGGUUUUAAAUGAUUUAACACAUGAUAAAUGUCUAACAUACAAGUAAAUAGAUGUCUUUAUGUGUGUGACAACCCAAAAUUUCUAUCUUGUACAAACCCUACACCUCAAUCAAAGUCCAACUUGCUUCUGCUAACUUUUAGCACUGUAUAGAAUCUGAUGGAGCUUACCGAGCUUAGUACAUCCAGUGAUCAAAUACUAGAAUGGGUCAAAUAGAGUUACAAAGCACCAAACAUGCUUUAAAACCUAAAAUGAGGAGUUUACGGCCAUGAGAACAUCAGUUUAUGGCCGUAAACUCAUGGUGGCCAUAAGCUCCAUGCUUAUAUAUGAAAUACUUGGCCAUUUUCAUUUAUUAUCACACUUUCAAGUCUAGAACUCAGUUUUGCUCUCAAGUAUCAUCAAGAACUUUCAUUCCAAUCUUCAAUCUAGUAAGUAAUCUUUCAAUUUUCAACUUGAUAUCCUUCCAUAUCUAGUGAAUACACAUGAUUACAUCCAUGAAAUCUCUUCUUUUGGUUAGGUCUUCAAGUGUUCUUCAUUUCAACAAGAACAGCAAGAACAUACACUAGUGUUCUUGGAUUUUAAACACCCUUACAAGCAUCUAUAUUGUAAGUACUCUUACCUUACCUUGUUUUAAUUCUUGAGUCACUUAGUUUACCCCUUGAAAUCACCAAUAACUCUAGAACACAUGGCGUUUACGGCCAAGGAAAUCUCCUUGGGCCAUAAACACUCAUAAGUGGUGCAUUUGUGCCACAACUCCUUCAUAAGGCUUAGAACUUGGUCUAGAACACUUCAAACUUGAGCUACGGACUUUAAACAUCAAAAUGGUAGAAGUCACAAGGAGUUUACAGCCGUAAACUCACUAGGGCAGCAAACUCGAGGCCGUAAACUCAUGGAGAGUUUACUCUUGGACCGCAAACUCCCAAGCAAGACCCUACAACCCAUAGAUACAACCCUAUGAUCUUAUAACAAUUGAAUUAAAGUGUUUUCCAUGUUCUAGGGUGUCUUUAAAUGCAUAAUUUGUUUUAAAAUCACUAAUCAGAUACGUAUAUGUGUCUUUAUAUGUUAAAAAGGAUCAGUGUGUUUGUUCAAGACUUCACUUGACACCUAGCUCCUUAUCUAGCACUUUCAUCAAAACCACUCACUACAGGUCAGUUCACACCCCUUAAGUAACCUUUUAAAUGUUUUUAAAUGCUUUUAUGGGGGGAUAUAAGUUGAAUCACUCUAGUUAUAAUAUCAAUCAAAUGUGAAUUAUAACUAUCAAACAUGAGGAUUUACUAUACUUUUAACUGUUUUGUCAACAAAACUACUUCAAAAUGAUUAUCAAACUCUUUUACAUAUUAAACUCUUUAUGAAACUUGAUCUUAGUUACCAAAUCAUUACUUUCAAACCUUUUAACUUAUAUAUUGUCAAAAUCUUGUCCAACAUGUACAUAUUUAUAUAAGUAAUUUUGAAGGACUUAGGACUGAUAACUCACUUUAAUUGAUGUUCCUUGUUUGGUUGUUGACUUAGAGUACCCUGUUGUUUGUCCGAAUGUCAUUUAAUCCUUAGUUAUAUAUUAUGUAUAUAUGUAUAGAUGUAAAGCUUUUACCUUUGUUCUAACACCUUCGGGUAGCAAAGGUGUAUAAACUUACUAAGUCAUUUAGACAUCAUUUCUAGUAAACUAUAAUAGGUAUAAUGUAGUGGUAUACUGCUUACUAUUUCUAGUACAAUGAUACAUAUAAAGAGUCAGUUCAUGCUUAAGUCAAUACAUACUGUAACAAUUCAUAUACUACACCAUACCACAUAACAUACUAUAAUGAGAGUCAGGGAGAACAUACUACACACUAGACAAAGAGAACAUACACUAGUACACACUAUAUACUAUACAAAAGAACAUACUCUUAUGAGAAUCAGGGAGGACAUUUACUACACUAGUACCUGAAAUACAUACACACUAUAACGUAAAUGUGAGGCACUACUUCGGGGCAUGGCAUCUCUGUCAUGGCUCAUCUUGUAACCAGAGUCUUCUGAAGGGAGAGCGUGAAUUUGUGUAUAGAUCUAUACUGGACUGACCGUCCUACACCUUGCUGCUAGCAAUAGUGGGACCUGCAAGUCUUCGGGUGAUGAAUGUCAUACCAUCUCGAUGUCUUCGAGCGUCGUGUUUUACUAGGUCGAUUAAGUAUUGUUACAAUUAUAUCACAUUAUACCUUAAUUAACAAUUGGUUUAAGGUAAUUAGUAUAACAGUAGUCACCAUAAAAUAAAACUACAAUACUUCAUUAUUUUCCCCAUUACAUUUACUUUAUGAUCUUCACAUAAACAGUAAUGUACAAAUUAUAUUUUAUUAAUGAUAUUCACAUUAGGGAGGAAUACUCACUUUUACAAUGAACAAACAUACAACACAUUUGAUGCCUUGGUCGAAGGCGACUUUUAGUAGACAAUAUAGGAUUUUCUAUGGGAUACAAACAAUGAGUACAAACAUUUAGAAACUCAUACAUUCAACACUUACAAAUAUUUUCAUACAAACAAUGACACUAAAAUGCUUAUGAACUCACCAGCUUUAAAGCUGAUAAACUCUUUCAAAAUAACUUGUAUUCUUAGGUCAUCAAUAGACAGGUACCAAGGCCAGCUUUUGAGAUGAUGGAGCACAUUUCAAGACUCAUCUUUUAUUUUGAUUCAUAUUUUGGUGUCUUAUAAACUGUACCGAACACACUUGUAUUAAGAUUCAUUAUUAAUGCAAUGGAUGAUGUUGUUUUCUUGUUUACUAUUAUUAUGUGUUGUGAUAUUGUACAUGACAUCCUCCGCCCCAAAACUUUCCCGCCGUUCCAGUUUUGGGGUGUGACAAAUUGGUAUCAGAGCAUUGUUUAUAGUGAAUUGAGUAUAUCAACCCAUAAAAGAUAUACUAACUAUAAACACAACGGGAUUAAAAUACUCUGACCAAUAGUUUAAUACCUUUAAAUAAUAAAAUAUUUAACUAAGUAUACAUACCUGCAUUCAUACUAAAAUCAGUGUCACUAGUACAGAACAAAAGUAUUACGAUUGUUGAAUAUCACAAGUAGGCUUGGGUAUGGCAUAGCCUGAUCAACUAUACUAGUCCAAGAAGUGAUUAGCAUAUACCCAAGAAUGGUUGUGAUGUGGCAAAAAGUCUAAAAACUUACCAACAUUACUACAAUGAAAACGUUAGAACAAAACAUAAUUCUAAAGUACAUAUAACUGGUAUGCGCGAAGCAAGUAUUCAAGUAACUGAUAAAGAUCACCUUAUAAUUAUCUAAUUAGUAUGUCUAUUAACUAUUUCUUUAUCCCUUUUCUCGCGUAGAUAUCAUGGUUGGAUUCCAUCCUCUUGGUGACCCGUACUUCCCAAAACAAGGCAAUGUUGGAUGGCUUGAUUAUGAGCCGGAAGAUGACCAUCCAAUCCCUUUGGAUGAUCACCUCGCAGAAGGCUUUUCUGAUGGUUCCGACUUCGAGCCUGAAGUCAACAACCUACCCCAAGUGGGUUAAGUCCCAAAUCUCAACCCCCGACCAACAUUUUAAGGUCCCACACCCUUGUGGGAGACAAACUUGAAUCGCUGAAGUGAUGAGCAAGGUCAACCCUUACCCUACAAUGGGGACCGAAGCUUUUACAACUUAAGCAAGGGUGGCUCAGCUGACCGAGUCCUGCCCGUUAUAGUCCGUAGGAUUGCUCGGAAUGUUGAGCAAGGUCGGGAAGCCAUCGACCGAGUCAUGGAAAUUGAUGCCAAUUCAGGUGUUAACACGGUCCACAUUCUCCAUAUCGAAGCGGCUAUGGAAAGGACUAGGAGAUCCAAUGAGGCUUUGCAGCAGCAGCUAGCUGAAUCCCAAGCUGAAGUCAGGGAACUUAGAGCUCGUCAGGAAAUGUUUGAAAGGCGCAUGAGAGACAUGAAGCACCGUCUGUCAGAGUCAAGGACUCGUUGUAGUGGUUCUUGUCGUAGAUAGAGCCUACUCAACUUAGUUAUGUAAAAACUCUAGUUUAAUUUCCUAUCUUUGUAAAGACUUUGGAUCUGUUAAGUCUUGAUUAGGGUGUACAUCUGUCAAAAUUUUCCCAUCUUGGUUUGAUGUAAGACCUACUAUUAGGUCAUUUUCCUCGAACUUGUUACAUCAAUAAUACCAGUAAUAUUGAUAGAUAUAUAACUUGUUGGACUAUGGCAAUUUAGCCCAUGGAUCACUCUCACUAUGCUUAAAAUUGAUUCUUACUAUCAUGUUCAUCUUUAUAAACUUAUAGUUGAAAGGUGCCUCCUCGUAAGUCGACAAGGCGUAAUCCCUCGAUUCUUCCAACUCAAACACCACCACCUCUUCAACAAUUCGUUACGACAGCUCUAAAUGUUGUAGUGCCUGCGGCUGUGGCAACAACCAUCAUAUCACUCUACCGGUGCCAGCGGAGGUGGAACACCUGUUAAUUCUACUCAAGGUGAAAUCCUCGUGCGCUCGAGAGAGUGCUCCUACAAGUACUUCACCAAUUUCAAGACAAAUUCCUUUAAAGGGACUGGCGGAGUCAUUGCCCUCCCGUAAUGGUUUGAAAAGACGGAGUCGAUCUUUGAGAUAUGCUCCUGCCCAGCAUCGAGUAAGGUCAAGUCACUAACUCUGAUAGUGGCAAAUGAUAUGAGGUGGGAAACACUGAGAGACCUCAUGAUUGAGGAAUAUUGCCCGCGCGGCGAGUUCCAGAAAUUAGAACAAGCACUAUGGAACCUAACCAUGAAAGGCUUCGACAUAGUUUCCUAUACUGCCAGAUUCAGUGAGCUGGUGGCCCUUUGUCCCAACAUGGUUCCCACGGAGGGAAAGAAAAUAGAGAGGUACAUCUCGGGGUUGGUGCCUCUAUUUCAGGGAAAUGUCUUAUCUUCAAAUCCCUCUACCUUCGAUUGUGCCAAGCGAUUGGCACAACGGCUCAUUGACCAUGGGGUCCAGACCCCAUCAUCAACAACAACCCUAGCCAUCUCUGAACCUUCCAAAGCCGCUGAAAACAAGUGGACGUUCUAGGAUGACAAAAAGAAACAAAAAUCUGCCAAAAAGCAACAGGUUGUGGCGGUUCAUGCAGCGAUAGCACUUGUCGCUGCUGCUCCGAUAAUGCAGUACUUUGGAAGCUUGCCAAAGCGCAACAAAUGCAAUUCCACCACAAUGGACCGUAUCGGGAUUUGUAGUGCUCCAACUGCAACAAAAAGGGACACACUGUAUGCUUUCGCAGAUCCCCAACAAAGCCAAUAAACCAAGUGCAUGGCGCUGGUGUGGGCCAGGCUUGCUACGGUUGUGGCGAGGUAGGCCACUACAAGAAGAACUGCCUGAAAGCAGGGAAUGUUGGUGGAGUAGGCAGAGUUUUGGCCAUAGGCCACGAGGAAGCGAUUGCCGACCCCAUAGUGGUCACUAGUACGUUUCUCAUCGAUAACUCUUAUGCAUGCAUUCUGUUUGAUAGUGAAGUAGAGAGGAGUUUCCUUAACGAAACAUUUGCUCAAUUAAUUAAGCAAAAAACACAAACACUUAAAGAACCGUUCACUGUAGAAAUGGGUAACGGAAAGACUGAGAGCACUAGUAGUAUAUACAUAGGAUGUACUCUAAUGCUAGAUAGCCAUUCAUUUACAAUCGACCUCAUCCCGGUCUCAAUUAAAAGUUUCGGCAUCAUUAUCGACAUGGAUUGGUUGAGUCUGGAUCGUGUCAACAUCAUAUGUUAUGAGAAUGCUGUUUGCCUUAAUCUGCCAUCUGGCAAAACUCUAGUAGUCUAUGGCGACAAACCCGACACGAUCCUUAGUCUCAUAUUGAGUAUUCAAGCCCAGAAGUACUUACGUAAGGAAUAUCAUGCAUUAUUUGCACACGUUGUUGAUAUGAUCCAAAAAACCAAAGACCUGAAGAUCAUUCCCGUAGUACGGGACUUUCCCGACAUCUUUCCAGAAGAACUACCAGGAUUACCUCCGCAACGACAAGUCGAGUACAGAAUCGAUUUAGUUUCAAGAGCUACCCCAGUAGCCAAAUCGCCCUAUCGUCCAGCACCAGCUGAGAUGCAGGAACUAUCCGGACAACUUAACGAAUUGCUCAGCAAGGACUUUAUUAGACCAAGCUUCUCACCAUGGGGAGCACCAGUCUUGUCCGCCAAGAAGAAAGACGGAUCGUUUUGUAUGUGCAUCGACUAUAGUGAGCUCAAUAAACUAACGGUUAAAAAUUGUUACCCUCUGUCUCGCAUAGACGAUUUAUUUCACCAACUGCAAGGGGCAAAUUACUUUUCAUAAUUUUAUUUGAGGUCCGGCUAUCACCAGUUACGAGUGUUAGAGGAGGAUGUUCCGAAGACAGCCUUCCAAACUUGUUACGGACACUACGAGUUUGUAGUGAUGCCAUUCGGAUUGACAAAUGCGCCUGCAGUGUUUAUUGACUUAAUGAAUCGGGUAUGCCGUCCUUACUUGGAUCAGUUCGUCAUCGUCUUCAUCGAUGACAUACUUAUCUACUUUCGAAGUAUGGAGGAACAUAGUGAUCAUCUGCGACAAGUCCUAGGAACCCUACGAACAUAGAAGCUCUAAGCAAAGUUCUCUUAAUUCGAAUUUUGGAUCCGAAAGGUCGAAUUCUUAGGACACAUGGUUAGUGAAGAAGGAAUCCACGUGAACCCUUCCAAAAUUAAAGUCAUUGAGAACUGGUCAGCACCGAAGACGCCUAUAGAAAUUUGUCAAUUUCUAGGCCUCGCUGGCUACUACAGCAGAUUCAUACAGAACGUCUCGUGUAUAGCGAAACCUCUUACAACAUUAACCCAGAAGUGUGUGGCCUUUGCCUGGAAAGAGAAAUAAGAGAAGGCGUUCCAAACGCUGAAGCGAGCCUUGUGCACCGAACCGAUACUAUACCUCCCAAAAGGAAUAGAAGACUUCGUAGUCUAUUCAUCAAAUCAAUGGCUCGAUUAUGUUCUGAUGCAACGAGGUAAGGUCAUUGCCUAUGCCUCAAGACAGCUGAAGACACAUGAGGUCAACUACACCACACACGAUCUUGAGUUAGGAGCAGUCAUGUUUGCUCUGAAGAUCUGGAGACACUACAUGUAUGGUAUGAAAAGCACUAUCUUUAUAGACCACAAAAUCCUACAACACAUAUUCAACCAGAAGGAGCUCAAUAUGAGACACUGACGGUGGGUCGAGCUACUUAAUGACUACGAAUGCGACAUUUGUUAUCAUCUGGAUAAAGCCAAUCUAGUAGCAGACGCCUUAAGUCGGAGGAAUGGAUAAGAACUUGGAGGUCAAGGGUGGCAGAGCCUUAUACCUCAUGGACCAGAUCUGGACACCGAAACACGUUGGCUUCAGAGACUUGGUCAUGACCGAGGUGAACAAAACUAGAUAUCCUAUCCAUCCGGGUUCAGAUAAGAUUUAUCUGUAUCUUAAAAAGAUAUAUUGGUGGCCUAACAUGAAAGUAGAGAUUGCUACCUUUUUAAGUAAAUGCCUUACUUAUGCCAAGGUCAAGGUCGAAUACCAGAAACCCUCUGGUCUAUUACAACACUAGAGAUACCGGAGUAGAAGUGGGAGUGGAUCACAAUGUACUUCAUAACCAAGUUGCCCAAGACAUCGAGCGGACUUGAUACCAUUUGGGUUGUCGUCGAUUGAUUGACUAAGCCCGCGCACUUCCUGCCCAUGAAAGAAACUGACAAGAUGGAGAAGCUCACGAGAACAUACAUUAGGGAGAUCGUACUACUGUAUGGUGUUCUGAUAUCCACUAUCUCCGAUAGAGAUAGUAGAUUCACUUCGAGGUUCUGGCAGUCACUACAGAGUUCCCUAGGAACAAGGCUGGACAUUAGUACAACAUUCCAUUCACAGACCGACAGACAAAGUGAGAGGACUAUCCAAACCUUCUAAGAUAUGUUGAGAGCCUAUGUGAUCGACUUUGGGAAGGCAUGGGAUACUCACUUACCCCUUGUUGAAUUUUCCUACAACAAUAGUUAUCACACGAGCAUAAAGGAUACUCCCUUUGAAGCCCUCUAUGGCCAAAAGUGCAGAUCCCCUCUAUGCUGGGCUGAGGUGGGUGACACAAAGUUAGCUAAAGGAUGAGUUCCUAACAGCACCCUCACAGGUCCGGAGAUCAUUCGGAAAAUGACAAAGAAGAUUGUUCAGAUUCGUGAACGAUUGAAAGCCUCUAGAGACGGACAGAAAAGCUACGCAGACAAACGAAGAAAACCUUUGGAAUUUCAUGUGGGAGACUGCGUUCUUUUGAAAUUCUCACCCUAGAAGGGCUUGAUACGCUUCGGAAAGCGUGGAAAUCAAAAAUUCAAGAUACAUAGGGCCUUUCGAGAUUCUUUCCAGAAUCGGCCCUGUAGCUUACAAACUCAAUCUACCAUGUGAACUUAGUAACGUACAUUCUACUUUCCAUGUCUCGAACAUGAAAAAGGGCCUAUCUGAUAAGACUCUUGUAAUACCACUCGACGAGAUUGAGGUCAACGAGAGCCUCAACUUCGUGGAAGAACCUGUAGAGAUCAUGGACCGAGAGUUCAAGCAUACGAAGCACAUUCGUAUCCCGAUAGUGAAGGUUUGCUGGAACACCAAGCGAGGACCUGAAUUCACUUGGGAGCACGAGCAUCAAAUGGAAUUGAAAUAUCCUCAUCGUUUCGCAUAGUUAUUUGUAACUCCUAAAUUGCUUAAACUUUAAUUUCGGGAUGAAAUUCUCUCUAACGGGGGGAUGAUGUGACAACCAGAAAUUUCUAUCUUAUACAAACCCUACACCUCAAUCAUAGUCCAACUUGCUUUUGCUAACUUUCAACAUUAUAUAGAAUCUGCUGGAGCUUACCGAGCUUAGUUCAUCAGGGGAUUAAAUACUAGAAUGGGUCAAAUAGAGUUAUAAACCACCAAACAUGCUUUAAAUCCUCAAAUGAGGACUUUAUCGCCAUAGGACCAUGGGUUUACGGCCGGAAACUCAUAAUGGCCGUAAACUCCAUGGCUAUACAUGAAUUACUUGGUCAUUUUCAUUCAUUAUCACACUAUCAAGCCUAGAACUCGGUUUUGCUCUCAAGUAUCAUCAAGAACUUUCAUUCCAAUUAGUAAGUAAUCUUUCCAUUUUCAAUUUGACAUCCUUCCAUAUCUAGUGAAUACCCAUGAUUUUAUCCAUGAAAUCUCUUCUUUUGGUUAGAUCUUCAAGUGUUCUUUAUUUCACCAAGAACACCAAGAACACACACUAGUGUUCUUGGACUUUAAACACCCUUACAAGCUUCUAUAUUCUAAGUACUCUUACCUUACCUUGUUUUAAUGCUUGAGUCACUUAGUUUACCCCUUGAAAUCACCAAAAACUCUAGAACACAUGGUGUUUAUGGCCAAGGAAAUCUCCUUGGGCCGUAAACACUCAUAGGUGGUGCAUUUGUGCCACAACUCCUUCAUAAGGCUUAGAACUUGGUCUAGAACACUUCAAACUUGAGCUAUGGACCUUAAACAUCAAAAUGGUAGAAUUCACAAGGAGUUUACAGCUGUAAACUCACUAUGGCCGCAAACCCGAGGCCGUAAACUCAUGGAGAGUUUACUCUUGGAUCGCACACUCCCAAGCAACACCCUACAACCCUUAGAUGCAACCCUAUGAUCUUAUAACACUUGAAUCAAAAUGUUUUCCACGUUCUAGGGUGUCUUUACUUGCUUAAUUAGUGUUAAAAUUACUUAUUAGAUACAUAUAUGUUUCUUUAUAUGUUAAAUAGGAUCAGCGUGUGUGUUCAAGUCUUCACUUGACACUUAGCACCUUAUCCAACACUUUCAUCCUAACCACUCACCACAGGUGACUUCAUUCCCCUUAAUUAACCUUUUAAAUGUUUUUAAAUUCUUUUAUGGGGGGAUACAAGUUGAAUCACUACAGUUAUAAUAUCAAUCACAUGUGAUUUAUAAGUAUCAAACAUGUAGAUUUACUAUACUUUUAACUGUUUUGUCAAGAAAACUACUUCAAAAUGAUUAUCAAACUCUUUUACAUAUUAAACUCUUUAUGAAACUUGAUCUUAGUUACCAAAUCGUUACUUUCAAACCUUUUAACUUAUAUAUUUUCAAAAUCUUGUCCAACACGUAUAUAGUUAUUUAAGUAAGGUUUGAAGGACUUAGGACUGAUAACUCACUUUAAUUCAUGUUCCUUGUUUGGUUGUGGAUUUAGAUUACCCUAUUGUUUGUCCGAGUGUUGUUUAAUCCUUAGUUAUAUAUUAUGUAUAUAUGUGUAAAUGUAAAGCUUUUACCUUAGUUCCAACACCUUCGGGUAGCAAAGGUGUAUAAACUUACUAAGUCAUUUAGACAACAUUUCUAGUAAACUAUAAUAGAUAUAGUUUAGUGGUAUACUGCUUACUAUUUCUAAUACAAUGAUACAUAAAAAGAGUCAGUUCAAACAUAAGUCAAUACAUACUGUAACAAUACAUACACUACACCAUACCACAGAGUAUACUAUAUUGAGAGUCAGGGAGAACAUACUACACACUAGAUAGAGAGGACAUAUACUAGUACACACUAUUGAUACACACUAUAUACUGUACAAAAGAAUAUACUAUGAUGAGAAUCAGAGAGGACAUUCACUACACUAGUACAUGCAAUGCAUACACAAUAUAACAUAAAUGUGAGGCACUACUUCAGGGCAUGGCAUCUCUGUCAUGGCUCGUCUUGUAACCAGAGUCUUCUGAAGUGAGAGUGUGAAUUCGUGUAUAGAUCUAUAAUGGACUGACCAUCCUACACCUUGUUGCUAGCUACAGUGGGACUGCAGGUCUUCGGGUGAUGAGUGCCAUACCAUCUCGACGUCUUCGAGCGUCAUGUUGUACUAGGUCGAUGAUAUGGUUACAAUUAUAUCACAUUAUACCUUGAUUAACAAUUGGUUUAAGGUAAUUAGUACAGCAGUAGUCACUAUAACAUAAAACUACAAUACUUCAUUAUUUUCCCCAUUACAUUUACUUUGUGAUAUUCACAUAAACAGUAAUGUACAAACUAUAUUUCAUUAAUGAUAGUCACAUUCGGGAGGAAUACUCACUUUUACAAUGAACAAACAUACAUGACAUUUGAUGCCUUGGUAGAAGGCUACUUUUAGUAGAAAAUAUAGGAUUUUCUAGGGGAUACAAACAAUUAUUACAAACAUUUACAAACUCAUACAUUCAACACUGACAAACAUUUUCAUACAAACAGUGACACUAAAAUGUUUAUGAAGUCACCAGCUUUAAAGUUGAUAAACUCUUUCAAAAUAACUUGUAUUAUCAGCUCAUCAGUAGACAGGUAUGGAGGCCAACUUUUGAGAUGAUGGAGCACAUUUCAAGACUCAUCUUUUAUUUUAAUUCAUAUUUUGGUGUCUUAUAUACUAUACCGAACACACUUGUAUGAAAAUACAUUAUUAAUGCAAUGUACGACGUUCUUUUCUUGUUUACUAUUAUUCUGUGUUAUGAUAUUGUACAUGACGUCCUCCGCCCCAGAACGUUUCCGUCGUUCUGGUUUUGGGGUGUGACAAUGUGUUAAGACAUCUAAAAGAAUACUCAUAUCGCUAGCUUGAAUGGAAUCGGAAAAUGCACAACAAAAGUGAGUUUUCUACAACCCCUAUUUUAUGUUUUACUAGUUUUGGGGGAUAAUACACACUAAAAAAAUCCUAUUGGGAUGAUUUAAAGGCUUUUCUAAGUAAAUUUGCAAGUUAUGUCACUAAACAUAUCUAUAUUUUAAUUUCAACUUUUUACAAACAAGUUGUGGUCUGUUCACAGGCUAUUUUACCCUUCUUAAACUUAAUGGAUUUCAAAACUGUAAAUAUAUGAAAAUAGUUCAGGUCUAUACCUUUUCAAGAACUAAUCACACGUGUUCACACAAUUUUUCUACAAUUUAUGAUGACUCUUACAAAACUGCCUAUCAUUUCAGAACAUUUUCGGACCAGUCUGUAAAAAUGUACAUUUUCACUCUAGUUAUCAACUAGUUAAGAUCAGGCUAAAAAUCAUGAACAAAAGUAGACUCAUUUUCUAAGCUCUAAGAGUUUACGGAUUCCAAUUUCGACUUACGAUGUUUUUUCUAUAAUUUUUCUAAAAUCAAGGACAAAAUUUCCCUUUUGAUUAAUCUUGUUGUUUGGUCUUUCAAAUAUAUACAUAAAGCUUUGUUGUAAAUGUGAAGUACAACAAUAAUGUUAUUAUUUAAUUCACACACACUUUUAUGAUCACAAAAGUUUUAAUUAUAACAAGAAUCUAAUAUGAUCAUGUUGAAAAACCUUAUAACAUAGGAUGAUUUGAAAUAUGUUGGUUUUGGUCACUCACAGCCGGGAUGUUGUACAAACUUUGUUGGUCACUUAAAGUCAGAGUAUUGUCUAAACAAUUGUUAUGGUCACUUAAAGUUCGAGUACUUUCUAAACAUUUGUUAUGGUCACUUACAGUCGGAGUACUGUCUAAACAUGGAUAUGGUUACUUACAGCCGACAUGUUACUUAAACUCGUGUAAAGGCACUUACAGCCGACGUGCUGUUUAAACUUGUAUAGGGACUCAUACAACCAUUGUCCUAUUAAAGCUUUGGUAGCUUUACAAUAUUAAGCGUUACAACUAUAAAAUUUUCCAACAGAAACAAUUGGGAAUUAUAACAGAAUCUCGGAUACAAAAAUACUAAUAGAAACUAGGAUGAGGUUGUAUGUAGUAUAAAUAUUGUUUGUAGAUUGUUAAACUGAUUAGUAGUGUCUAUUUAUACAAACACUAAAUAUUUUGCUUCACAAAAAUAUGUUAAAAAAUACUUUUAUCAUUAAAUUUUUUAACAUGGAUACUCGUAUCGGAUUUCAAGUAUCGGGUCUCACACGAAGCAUAUCGGUAACUUUGUUAACUAUAUUGUGCACAACUUAUUUUUUAAACAUUCCACGUUUUAUAUAGAUUUGUUUUUAUAAAUAUCAUAAAAAUCAAAACCUGUGGAACUCACCAACAAUUUUUGUUGACGUAUUUUAAAAUUGUGUAUUCUCAGGUAGCUAAGAAGUUAGAGGUAGGACAUUGGUUCUAAGGAAGGUAUAGUUCCUUUCUUUUGAGAAUAAACUUGACUUGUUUACCGUUGUGUGUUUAAGUUAUGAAGAUGUAAUUUCAAUUCCAAAAAUUAAAUCUUUGUAAAAUAUUGAUUCAAAUAUAUUAAGUAUUCGAUAUAUGUGGUUAACUGUAAUCCAACUGUAUAAAGUUGCAACCCCUAUUAUUUCCUCCAUCGGACGAGGUGUGACAACAAGCUCCUUGCUUAUUAUUUUGAUGUUCUUUUAGACCUUUUUAAGUGCUAAAGCUCUUUCCUUUAUCUCUUAUGCAUGUAAGAUCUUUGAUUAUGCUUUUCUUUUCUUGGUUAGGUUGGAUAGCAUGCAUGGGAUCGAUAAAUUUAGUCACUUAAUGGAUAAUUGAGGCCUUUUCUUUAUUAUAAGUUUAUGCUAUGAGGUAUAGUGUUGGUUUUAGACACCAAGCAUGAGUCUUGGCCUCAUUUCUCCUCAAUUACCUAAGUUAGUGUUCAACUCAUGCAUCACUAAAAACCUACGAUUUUAUGGUCCUUAGGGUUGGGGAAAACCCUUUGGAAAAUCUCAAGGAGUAGCUUAAUUGUUUAAGAGAUUAAUGCUCUAAGGUGUCCAAAAUGCAACUCACGACGUGAGGAAUGGCAUGUUACACUGUCAGAAGAGGGUGUUCGUGAUUAUUUUGUCCUGGUUCAGUCACAACAUGAUCUAUGAGUGGUCACGAUGUGACCGUUGGCUGUAGUUUACCAUGGUUAACGUUUCGACCAUGAUUGACUUUUUGGAUCAAGCUAGGGUUCUAAGGAUGUAGGUUGAAAGGGUAUGUAUUUACUUCUCUUAGGUGUCUUGUUGCUCCUGUCUACUUUAUAUGUGAGAGCUCUUGUAGUUAUAGUUGUUAUUCGCGAGGUAAGUCUUCUCACUAUAUUACCUGUGUAGUAGUGUAUGCAUGCUGACCAACUAGGUCUUACUUGUUGAUUUAUGUGAUUUGUAAAAUUGUGUUGCUGAUGUCUCCUGGACAGUUACAAGUCCAUAGGACUAUUGAUAGUCCCCAGGUUGCUGAAAAGCCCUGAAAUGUGUUGUUAGUCCACAUGGUUGCUGAUAACUCAUAGUUUUUUCUUUUGCUGACAUGUAUGUAAUAUUUUAGGAACUUACUAAACUUUAUGCUUACAGUUUGUAAAGCCCCGUUUAUUUAUUAAAUUAAUAAAUAAAAUAAUGAGCGAAUAGUAGCCCUAAAAUAAAUAAUUAUAUAUGUAGGGUGUUGGGUUCGGGGAGUUAAUUGCCACAAUUUUAGAAGUCGAGGGUUAAAAGCGCAUGAUUUGGAUUGGUUUUGUAAAUAAUUAUGAAGGCAAGGACUAUUGAGUAAUUAUUGGGACUUAAUAUGAAGAGAUGUUGGGAGCUAAGGGCUAAAAGGUAACAUUUGGGUUUAAAUCGAAAAGAUCUGGUGGGGAGGGGCUGAUAUUGUUAAAAUGGGCAGAAGUUUGGUGGAACACGGGUAUACCUCAUGCAGCCUCCAUAUAUAUACUUGGUUCAUAAGGAACCCUAACCCUAGUACAAGAGCACAGCCGCCACUUCCCCUUUCCAUUAUUUCCAGCGCCGCCAGCACCAAUGGAACCCUCUCCGGCCAUUGAUUCCUCCACCGAAUCCGACCACCAAGCCGUCGCUGUGCUUUUCCGCUGAUGACGUGAACCACCGUGACCCUCCAUCCACUGCACUGGCGAGGCGACCGCCACCUGGUCGCUGCUACUUCGCCGUCAUGGAGCCUCCUAGCGUCGUUGCCUUCCUCACCCGUAGCUGCUAUUUCGCUUCACGUUUCCUUCUUCCUCAGUUCGUCGAAGCACCGCCUCCGCAGUCGCCUCUUGUCUCCGCCGAUCUCAGUGUUCGUUGACGACAAGCUGUCGCCGUAAGUGCCGCCGUCGCCGCCACUUGACACGUUUCCGUUGCUCUGGUCACCAUUUGCCAUCUCGAAAUGUUGUUGUGUUCGUGUGUGUGGACUGUCGGUCGAGUAGGGUUGUGAAGAACCGGUGGCUACUACCGUCCACAUGUUGAUUAACUUUGGCUGCCAUCCCAAGUCCGUUGUUGUCACUGCCAUAAGUGUGAUCGGGUGUAUGGUCAUUUUCUGUUGGCCGAAGUUGUCAAGAAAUCACCAUGGCCGCCAGCCAUGGUGGCUGCUNACCCUAGUACAAGAGCACAGCCGCCACUUCCCCUUUCCAUUAUUUCCAGCGCCGCCAGCACCAAUGGAACCCUCUCCAGCCAUUGAUUCCUCCACCGAAUCCGACCACCAAGCCGUCGCUGUGCUUUUCCGCUGAUGACGUGAACCACCGUGACCCUCCAUCCACUGCACUGGCGAGGCGACCGCCACCUGGUCGCUGCUACUUCGCCGUCAUGGAGCCUCCUAGCGUCGUUGCCUUCCUCACCCGUAGCUGCUAUUUCGCUUCACGUUUCCUUCUUCCUCAGUUCGUCGAAGCGCCACCUCCACAGUCGCCUCUUGUCUCCGCCGAUCUCAGUGUUCGUUGACGACAAGCUGUCGCCGUAAGUGCCNNNNNNNNNNNNNNNNNNNNNNNNNNNNNNNNNNNNNNNNNNNNNNNNNNNNNNNNNNNNNNNNNNNNNNNNNNNNNNNNNNNNNNNNNNNNNNNNNNNNNNNNNNNNNNNNNNNNNNNNNNNNNNNNNNNNNNNNNNNNNNNNNNNNNNNNNNNNNNNNNNNNNNNNNNNNNNNNNNNNNNNNNNNNNNNNNNNNNNNNNNNNNNNNNNNNNNNNNNNNNNNNNNNNNNNNNNNNNNNNNNNNNNNNNNNNNNNNNNNNNNNNNNNNNNNNNNNNNNNNNNNNNNNNNNNNNNNNNNNNNNNNNNNNNNNNNNNNNNNNNNNNNNNNNNNNNNNNNNNNNNNNNNNNNNNNNNNNNNNNNNNNNNNNNNNNNNNNNNNNNNNNNNNNNNNNNNNNNNNNNNNNNNNNNNNNNNNNNNNNNNNNNNNNNNNNNNNNNNNNNNNNNNNNNNNNNNNNNNNNNNNNNNNNNNNNNNNNNNNNNNNNNNNNNNNNNNNNNNNNNNNNNNNNNNNNNNNNNNNNNNNNNNNNNNNNNNNNNNNNNNNNNNNNNNNNNNNNNNNNNNNNNNNNNNNNNNNNNNNNNNNNNNNNNNNNNNNNNNNNNNNNNNNNNNNNNNNNNNNNNNNNNNNNNNNNNNNNNNNNNNNNNNNNNNNNNNNNNNNNNNNNNNNNNNNNNNNNNNNNNNNNNNNNNNNNNNNNNNNNNNNNNNNNNNNNNNNNNNNNNNNNNNNNNNNNNNNNNNNNNNNNNNNNNNNNNNNNNNNNNNNNNNNNNNNNNNNNNNNNNNNNNNNNNNNNNNNNNNNNNNNNNNNNNNNNNNNNNNNNNNNNNNNNNNNNNNNNNNNNNNNNNNNNNNNNNNNNNNNNNNNNNNNNNNNNNNNNNNNNNNNNNNNNNNNNNNNNNNNNNNNNNNNNNNNNNNNNNNNNNNNNNNNNNNNNNNNNNNNNNNNNNNNNNNNNNNNNNNNNNNNNNNNNNNNNNNNNNNNNNNNNNNNNNNNNNNNNNNNNNNNNNNNNNNNNNNNNNNNNNNNNNNNNNNNNNNNNNNNNNNNNNNNNNNNNNNNNNNNNNNNNNNNNNNNNNNNNNCUUAAUGGAUUAAGUGCUUAAUGGGUUAAGUAGGAAACUUAACCCUAAUCAUCAUUUUAUGUGAAACCCUAAUUUCAUUUGGGUUUAUGGUUGGGCCUUUCUGUUGGGCCUUAAUGAUUGGGAUAUCAAAUGGGCUAUCCAAGAUCAAGCAAAUGGUCUAGAGCAAUUUAAUGGGCCUAGGGUAAGGCCCAAGUAAGGGGCUUGGGCCCAAUUUAGAAAAAUGGGCCAUAGUUUGGGCCUUAAUGAGUAUAUGAUGUUGGGCCUCAGAAUGAGACCAUGUAUAGGCCUAGGCCCAAUUUGGAAAAUUGGGCCAUGUGUUUGGCUUUGAUUCCUAAUUGACUUUGGGCCUACGGAUUGGGCCUUGGGCUUGAAUAAGCCAAGCGAGGGGUAAUGUAGUAAUUACCCAAAGAAUGUAUGUAUGGUUAUGUAUUGGGACCCAAUUAUUAAUUGGGUGUUAUUUUGGUGUUGACAGUUCGGGAAUCUGUCAGCCAGCAGCUGGGGUCGAGUCUGCGGGACUUCGGCAAGUGUGGGAUUGUGUCUUCGGGACUUCAGCAGUGUGAGGUGAGUUACCUUCCAGUAGCGGUGGGUCUACGGCCACAAUGCCGGCCCACCAGUAGGAGUUGUUGUUAGAUGAUUGUCUUUGUGAUAAUUGUCUAUGUUUGCUACUACAUGUUAUGUUUAUGUGCUAGCAUGAUAUGAUGUUAUGUGAUAGUGGUAGUAGGGGGUGAAAUAGUCCCCGGUUACCGGUCGAUAGGGCCGAAGGGGUAGAUUAGUACCCAACUAUGCUAGACAGAUUAUGAUAUAUGUGAUAUGAUAUUAUGUGGUAGUAGUAGGGGUGAAAUAGUCCCCACUUACCGGUCGACAGGACCGAAGGGGUAGGCCAGCACCCAGAUAUGCUAGGCAGUAUAUGACUUAUGUGUUUAUGUUAUGCCUUUAUGUGGUAGUGUUAGGGGGUGAAAUAGUCCCCGGUUACCGGUUGAAAGAUACCGAAGGGGAGGCCAGCACCCAGAUAUGCUAAGCAGUAUCCGGUCGAGAGGACCGAAGGGGAGCCCAGCACCCAGGUAUGCUAGGCAGUAUCCGGUCGAGAGGACCGAAGGGGAGGCUAGCACCCAGAUAUGCUAGACAGUAUCCGGUCGAGAGGACCGAAGGGGUAGGUCGGGCACCCAGAUAUGCCUGACAGUAUAUGUAUGUUAUAUGAUUGUGUGGUAUGUGGUAUGAUGGGGGAACUCACUAAGCUUCGUGCUUACGGUUUUCAGUUUGGGUUUCAGGUAGUUCGUUUUCAAAAGGAAGGAGCCGGCUUGAUCGCAGCGCAUCACAUUAUGGUCUUCCGCACAUGAGAUCUUUGGGAUUACACUCUGAUAUUGUUUUAUGAUAACAUGUUUGAUUAUUUCUACUUUAGUUUUGACAUGACAUAAUAUUAUAGAUGUUUUAUUUCACUGUUGGUUUUAAAAUAAAGUAAUUAAAAAUGAAAUUUUUGGCCUAUAUUUUUGGGAUGUUACAACAGUUGUUGAUUGAAUAUGUUUCAGGUACUUUAGAUGAUAGCGAAAAGACAAAGGCUUAAUUAUACACUCCGACUUGCAGAUUUUAUGAUUUUCUGCAUUUUGAUACUUUGAUUUGGCAUGACUGUAUUUGAUGCACCUAGGAUUUUUACGACUUGCGUUUUGUAGUAUUUGAUUUUUUUCCCUAUUUAAAUGAAAAAAGUUAUGAUAAAAACCAGUAUGUUACCAUUUGGUAUUAGGGCCAUGGUUUGGUGGAUUUGGAUGAACAUUCACGGGAUUCCAUACUCAAAUUAAGGAUUUGAGAGUUUUAUAAAAACUUACCAAAUAAUGAAGCUUAAGAAAAUAAUAGAGGAAGCAAUGUGUACAGUCAGCUGGAGAUCGCAGAAGUGAUUUCUUAAAGUAUUCAUAUUUGUAUUGUAUGCCGUAUUGGAAUUGAUCUUAUUUGAGUAGAAAGAAAUGCAUGCUAGUUGUUAGGAGAAGGAUCUUUUAAGACUUGCACAAUAGGGUUUCAUGAUUUUGUGAUGCCUUAUAGCCUAGGAGAUUGGUGUGAAUGUUUUGCUAGGGUUGAACCUAUGAUUUCUAAUUACUUCUUGUAUGCCGCAUGAUUCUACGUAAUUAGGAUUUUAUAGCCUUAGAAUGCUUGGUUUAGCCUUACUUCUUGUUCCUUGUUUGGUUUUGGAUUUGCGGUUGAAUAUCUUAUUUAAAUGUCUAUGGAGUCUGAGUUGUAUACAAUUGGUUAACGCGGAGCCAUUGGUGAGGUUAUUAGAGAGUUCUCAUAGGAUAUAGUUGUAGUUCAGACUAGACCUAGGAUGUGUAUCUAGAGCAUCAGAUUUGAAUCCUUGAGCACCUAGGUAUAUGUGUGUUGCUUCUUUGAGGGCAGAGUGUUUCUUGGAUCGAGACCUUGAGAAGGGAUCUAAAUCAACUACAAAUAUGUGUGUAAGGUAGUAUGGGCAUGUACUAAUGAAAGCACAAGAUCAAUAUGUGAUUUAAAAGGAAUCUUAGGGCACCUAGUAGUUGGUAGAAUUAUGUGUCCGCAUAUGCUUAUAGACUGGUUUUGACUUUUUUCCUUAUGUAUUUUAGUAUGGUGUUCACUCGAGGUUCAAGCUCUAGCAGUCCGGAGAGGUAGUGUACCAUUGAUGAAGAGAUCUGUUGAAUCAUUGCUAUUGUGGUGGCCGCAGUGGUCAGGGAGGCUAUCCAAGAGGUAUUUGAGUAUAUCUUGUUAAAUCAUCUCUUAGAUCCAAUUAGUUUAGGGUUUUUGGUAUACUUUGGUCCCUUGGGUUGAUUCAUGUGAGUAUAAGUUACUAUAGAAUUUUAGAAUAGUAGAUCUUGAUGUUUUUAAGGUCCUUGUUCAUAAAAAUGGCAUAUUGAUGGAUUUAGCUCAGCCAUGCAAGAGUUAGUGGUCAUAUUAUCAAGUUAGAGCGUUAGAAAUUGGUGUUGGACCUUGUUGGGCCAUAAAAAAGAAUUAAGUUGAUGACUUUAUCAUUUAAUAGAUUCCCCUUAAGUAAGAUUUGUGAUUUGGACGUUUGGACUUAUGCUAUUAAGUGUUUAACAAGAGUUUUGGCCAUCAGGGGAGUACGUUGGCCGUACAUACGCGUACGAUCAACAUAAUGCAUUCAACCCCUAUUUUUCCCUCGAUGUGUAAGCUUGUACACUAGGCAUAAUAAGGUGGUACACUUAGCAUACUCACGAGAUGUCGUAUGGGCCAUUUCUUGGGCCUUAGGUUUUUUAGGCAUAGGCCAUGACUUAUUGGGCUUAAGGUAGGAAGGGUAAAAGGGUAUUUUACCCUUUGUGAGAUGGUUUGUGAUUGGAAUUUUGGUUGUGGUCAUUACCCUGAUUAUUUACUAGAGUUAGUUUGGAUGUGUUUACUUUAGGAGCCAUCGUAGCAGUAGCCUGUGUGUGCGAUUGUUCAUCAUUUGAUUGAGGUGAGUCUUCUCACAGUGUUUUAACGGGUUGAAUACACCAAUGUCGGCCAAUUGAUUAUUUUUAUUAGAAUACUUGUUGUCCGUGUAACUCUUGCAUGUAUUGUGUGUGUAUACCUGGCAGGGCCUGAUGUGAGGCGAGGUCUGAUGAGUGUGUUGGGUGAGGCCCAUCGCAUGUGACACACAUAUUUGUACUGGGCUAGGCCUAAUGUUGGGUGAGGCCCGAUGGAUAUCGGGCAAGGCCCAUUGUAUGUAUGGUAUGUGGUAUUUUGAGGAAAAAUCACUAAGCUUUAUGAUUACACUUUAUGUUUCAUUUUAGGUACUUCUAGUUCGAAAGGGAAUAGCUCGUCUUGAUUGCAACGCAUCCACCCAUGUUUAUGCACUAUUAUGAUUUUGGGAUUAUACUAUGAUUACUAUUCCAUGUUUCUGCACUAGGCUGGGCCUAGUGUUGGGUGAGGCCUGAUGGCUGUCGGGCAAGGCCCAUUGUAUGUAUGGUAUGUGGUAUUUUGAGGAAAACUCACUAAGCUUUAUGAUUACAGUUUAUGUAUUAUUUCAGGUACUUCUAGUUCGAAAGGGAAUAGCUCGUCUUGAUCGUAACGUAUCCACCCAUGUUUUUGCGCUUUUAUGAUUUUGGAAUUAUAGUAUGAUAACUAUUUUUAUUUUGACAUACUUCUGGAUGGUUUGAUAGGAAUAUUUGAUUGUUUUUGGUUGAAUUAAAAAUGAAAUUUUUACUUAUGGUUUUUGGAAAGUUUCAAUCAUACCUCAAUAGAUAUGAGAAUUUGGAUAUUAGGCUAUCCAAGAUCGCUAGUGUUUAUGACCUUCGCACAUGCGGUUAUUUUCAUAUAGUCUUCAAGAUAAAACCUGAAAGAACCUUCCGAUUCUUAAAAUUUCUUGCCAUGAUGUUGGGUGGAGUAAUUUUUUUUUUGUUGUCAACAAACAAUCUAUUGAGAAUGGAGAUGUUAUGCCUAGUGGUUGCGUUUCUAAGGGUAGGAUUCUUACUUCUAAAGUUUGCAAUUUUUUUAUUUUUUAAAAAACUAAUCAUAAUUUAUUUAUUCAUUUUGAAGUGUUCCUAAGUUUGAAGAGUUGUUCCCACCUAAAGAAGACACUAAGGAGAAAGUUAGGAGUUUUUAAAUUUUUUUGUGGAAAAUAUGGACUUUAAGGUUGUCUUGGAUUGUUCUUCGGACGAAGAUCUUAGCACUUCCAUGGUUGUUAGAGAUCAUGAGCCAAUAAACAUGUCUAUGGAUAAGUUGAACUAACUUGUCUUCCUCUUGCUAUUCUUUAAGGUAUUUCUCAAGUAUGAUCUUAUUUUCUAAGUUCUAGGUUUACUCGAUCAUUUACUCGAUCAUGUUCUACAUUUUCUUCUUUUAUUGUAAAGGACUUUCGUUCAACUUAUGUGCCUAUGAAAUUUGAAAAGAUACAUGUUCCAAGACUAGGAAGGCGAAGAGUAAGCAUACAAGUUCCAAUCACAAGAAGAGGAAAGUAGAUAAAGGAUAUUAACUACGAACACCUUCAGCGGUGACUCGCAUGUAUUAGUAGUGACAUCUAAAUUAAUCGGGGGGAAUGUUCGUGUCGUUUUUUAGGGUAUUUGCAACGACAUCCAUCGCCACUAUUGCCUUUCUGCGAUACUCAAUUGAUUUCCAACCAUUGGAUCGACGAUAUUAGUCAAUAAUGACUAGGGUUCGUCUAGAAACGCUAACACGGAUCGUGGUUACCAAAAAUUAUGGACGACGCUUGUAGCGGCAACGCAAACACAUCGACAACACUCAAAUAUGUCUUCGCUAUUGUCUGCAUCGGAGUGAAAGGUAUCACUGCUCAUCAUUGUAUUUCUUGUAGUGUAGGAAUAUAAAAUCAUUAGCUUUUCCUAAUUGUUUAUGCAAAAUAUGAAGUGACAAGAGUCAUGUCGUGAAUAACUUCAUUUUAAUUAAACAUAACGAUUACUUAUCCUAAAAAAUAAUUUAACAAUGCAAAAUAAAUGGAAAAAUCCAAAAAUUCUUUUUUUUAUAUAUUAUUUUCAGAACUUGAAUUAACUAAAAAAAAUAAAAUAAAAUAAAUAAAUAAAUGUGUCUCACGGUCUCACAAAAUUAGACCGUCUUACAUNNNNNNNNNNNNNNNNNNNNNNNNNNNNNNNNNNNNNNNNNNNNNNNNNNNNNNNNNNNNNNNNNNNNNNNNNNNNNNNNNNNNNNNNNNNNNNNNNNNNNNNNNNNNNNNNNNNNNNNNNNNNNNNNNNNNNNNNNNNNUUCAAUAGAGAACCAUAAUUAACUAAGAAACCAAAAAAUUAAUCUUUCUUUUUCAACUUUUAUAACUUAUUUUUUAUCGAAAAAAAAAAACUAAAAAUACAUAAAUUGAUAACUUUUUAUCCUUUUUCCACUUAUAUAAAAUUUGAUUUUUUUUACGUCAAAUUCACAAUGUGAAUCUUUCAAAAUUCACAACGUGAAUCUGGAUUCACACGGUGAAUCCGAAAAAUAUUUUUCAAAUUGACAAUGUUAAUAUAUGAAUUUAGAUAUUUUUAGAUUUUUUUUUCGAUAAAGAAUAAACUCUAUAACUUGAAAAAAAAGAUUUGGUUCCUUGAAAAACNNNNNNNNNNNNNNNNNNNNNNNNNNNNNNNNNNNNNNNNNNNNNNNNNNNNNNNNNNNNNNNNNNNNNNNNNNNNNNNNNNNNNNNNNNNNNNNNNNNNNNNNNNNACCCUAAAUCUAUAUAUGUUAUUUGAAGUUAUAUAAAAAUAUAGAACUAAUUUUGAAAAUUUAAAAGGAUUUAACAAAACCCUUAAAACAACAAAAUUGACAAUUUAGGCAACCCAAAUAAAGAGAAAGAUUGCAAAAUAUUUUUCUUAUGCAAGUGUUUUAUAAAGGGUCCGUGCUACAAAACCACAAAUAUUCCUUUUGUGAACUUUUUUGUGUAAGGUCAUCAUUUUUGGAAACUGAUAUAUCAUUUAUAAUGUAAAAGUGAACUAUCAAAAAUAAUAAUAAUAAUAAUUAUAGUGUAAAAGUGAAAUAUCAAAAGACUGAACAAACUUUAAUGAUAAUGAUAAUAAUAAUAAUUAUUAUUAUAAUUAUAAUAACUAUAUAUGUGAGAAACAUCAAAACACUAAAAAUAGUAAUCUUUUAUACUCAUAUACACGAUGAAAUCAAAUAACAAGAAAGGAAAGAUGGUGAUUAACUGAUUAUUGUUAAGUAAUUGUGAGAUACUAAUACCAACAAUUCGCUUGACCUAAAUGUUAACACCAAUUAUAUCAUUAAUAAUAAGUAAUUGUGAGAUAAUUCAAUAUUUAUGUGUGUGUGAGAGUUCAUUAUAGAUUUUCAAGAUUGUUAUUUAUUAAUAAAUAAUAAGUUAUUUCGUUUUGAGCUUUUAGAACCUAUCGCAAGGCUUGAUCACCCAUAAAUAUGCACACAACUAGUAUUUUAAAAUGAGUUUUAUUAAAACUUCAUAAAUUUCAACUUCGAUGCCAUUUAAAUAUAAAAUAAUAACGCUGAUCAUCCAUCUAGUGAUCCCUUCGAUCAUGGCCUCCCCCACCACCAUUUAAUGAUUACACACCCAUUCCAAAACUAGAACAUCGCUUAACAAUGACACAAUUUUGUAUAUGAUUUAUUCAAUCGUCAAGAAGAAUAUACAAAUACCCGGUAUCGAACUCUACCAAAAAGAGCAGCCCAAUAUUGAUUAUAUGGUGAAUUGAAUCCCCUGCACCAAAAUGAUCGACAUGAAUAAUUCUAAUAUGUAACCCAAAAAAGAGAUAUAAUUAAGAUCAAUGUAAAAUGAGAUGCAUCAUGUAUUAAUGAAUGUUAUCUAUUACAAAAAAUUUCUUUGUACAGAGGACCACAUUACUCCCUAUGGCAAUUGUUUUAACCAGCAAUUUUAUAGGAGAAAUUAAUAAUAAGGACAUUUGUCGCUGAAAUUAUUCGUACCUAAAAUUUUAAUUUGUAACAACUUUUUAUGGUAAAAAGACUACGUCGCUGCGGGUGUUGUCAAUGUAGAUUAUAGUGUGUCGUAGAUUGCAGCCGCUUUUCCUUCUUAUCAUUACAUACACUCAAAGUAACCAAGUAACCACCAUCGUAAUACACUUAGAUUUUUACUAGUAACAAGUAAGAAGAUUAUACAAACGAUAAAUCCAAGGGAAUGAUAUUUUUAAAUAUUGUUAAGACGUCGCAGUCUUGUUAAUAAGCUGCUGUUAUAUAAUAGGAAAGCAUGUGAUUUGGUACGACAGUGUUGUGUGGUCUUAAAUAAAAGGAACAUGAAAAUUAAUACUGGGGUUUGACAAUCCCUUAUUUAUUUAAUUAUUUGUUUCAAAGUCCGAUUUUCCAUGUCUUUAAAUUGUCAGGUGUACUUUGUUAUAUUUUUUUUCAAAUAUAAUUUAUGGAUAAGCUUAUAUAAGCAAAUAAUCAAUUCAUGUUGGUAGUAACAAAAGUUUGAAUCGUAUCCCCCUUCUUAAAUGGUAUUGCGAAUGAAAUUAGGCUACAGACUCGAAUAUAUUGAUUUUCAAAACAGGCUAUGAAUUAAACAGUAGUCAAACAAAAUAUUCUCGUUAUUUAUAUUCAAACCAAAAGAUUACAUGCAUAUUUGUCAAAACCUCAUCUAGAACUAAAUCACAUAAGAACAUGAGAGAGAGAGAGAGAGAGAGAGAGAGAGAGAGAGAGAGANGAGAGAGAGAGAGAGAGAGAGAGAGAGAGAGAGAGAGAGAGAGAGAGAGAGAGAGAGAGAGGGGAUUCUCAUUUGUAUAUAUGAUUUACUAAACCGGUAUGUUAUACCAGAAUAAAAUACAAAAAAAUUAAAUAUAAAGGUUUAAACAAAAAAUUAUUUAAAUUUUAAAUUUUAAAUUUGAAAUUUAAAAUUUAAAAUUUAGAUUUAAAAUGAGACAUAUUAAAUAAUAUAUGAAUAAUAUUGUAAUUUAUUUGUUAUUUUCAAUUAGGACAAUUAUUAAUUGAGGUAUAAAUAUAAUGUGUUAAUUAAAAAAAGAUAAAAAAAAAUGAGAAAAUUACAAAUUGAAAAAAAAAAACAUUUAUUCAAAAAUACCAAAAAAUGACAUGUAUCCAAGUUAAUGAGAGAGUGACAUGUGGCAAAAUUAUUUUUAUUUAUUAGGAAUGAUUCAUUAUAUCUGUUGUAACCUCCGUAGAAAAUAACAUCACUACAAGGAAAAAGGUUAUUACCGGCAACAAAAGUCGCCGGUAAAAGUCCCAAAAGUCGCCGGUAAUACUAAUAGCGGCGACGNACUGCCUCGUCGCUAUUGAUCAUUUUGUCGCCGCUAAUGAUAAUAGUCGCCGCUAUUAGUAUGUCGCCGCUAAUGAUUAUUGUCGCCGCUAAUAAGCUAGUCACCGGUAAUGACAUCUGUCGCCGGUAAAAGCAUCGCCGGAGAAGAGAAACAGGCGAAGGGAGUGAAAUAGAAAGAGCAAAAGGAAAAAGAUCGAGUUUUUGGGGUUAACUGUGUCGGCCUUUAGCGGCGACACCUUUACCGGUGACAAAUUGAGCUUUAGCGGNUUUACCGGCGACAAAUUGAGCUUUAGCGGCGACACCUAUCAAUAGCGGCGACUAUCAGGAGGGAAUUAUUACCGCGUCAUUUUUUUAUCUUUAGCGGCGACUAUUUUGGAUCAUUACGGGCGACAAAAGCCGCCGGUAUUUCAUUUAUGCGUUCCUCGAGCACCCUAGCCGUUGGAUUAGAAAAACGAUCGGACGGUUCGUGUUUGCCAAAACGUCAAAGAGUGGAUCGGUGUCAUUCAGCCUUUAGCGGCGACACAGGCCUUUAGGAGCGACUUUUUUAAUUUGUGGCCGCUAAAGCUUCCUGUCCCCGCUAUUAGUGUCGCCGCUAAAGGCUCUAUUACUUGUAGUGCAUGAACUCAAGAAUAUAAUUAUAUGGCGACAUUGCCAAUUANNNNNNNNNNNNNNNNNNNNNNNNNNNNNNNNNNNNNNNNNNNNNNNNNNNNNNNNNNNNNNNNNNNNNNNNNNNNNNNNNNNNNNNNNNNNNNNNNNNNNNNNNNNNNNNNNNNNNNNNNNNNNNNNNNNNNNNNNNNNNNNNNNNNNNNNNNNNNNNNNNNNNNNNNNNNNNNNNNNNNNNNNNNNNNNNNNNNNNNNNNNNNNNNNNNNNNNNNNNNNNNNNNNNNNNNNNNNNNNNNNNNNNNNNNNAUAUAUAUAUGACCUGUUAAUGUACGUAAGCCAAAAAAAACGAGUUAAAUGGUAAUAUAUUUCUUAUACACAUUUAUUUUUUAGUAUUUUUUUUACAUAGUUAGUGCUUAAUAAAUUUUUUGUUACAAAAUAAGUCUUUGUUGUUUUUUUAGACAUUCAGUACUUAUGAUCGAUUUUUGUAGGUUUUUCUCAACACAUCUUAUGCGGGACAAUCUUUAAUAAGGAGUUCAAGAUUGUUCAUGUUUAUGGUCACCGCGACCUUAGUUGCUUAGUUGCUUAGUUCUUGUGGUUUGGCUUAGGGCUUGUGUUAUGGACGUCGUAAGUUCUUCAUACGAUCACAAAUUUUAAAGAUCUUUAUAUUUACACGUUUGUACUUGAGUCUACUACAUUUUCCGUUUAAAUUACUCCCAUUAAAGACAAUAUAUUUUAAUUAUGAUUUUAUAAAAGGAAAACGUUUAUACAUGCAUUCAUAAAGAAUAAAUUGAUAUAAAUAUCUCAUGUAAAAACAUCUUACUUUUCAACGGGAGUUAUCGAAAACAAUUAUAGUAAACUCAAAUUCAAACGUUUGAGUAUAAAUAUCAUUAAAAACUAUGAUCGUAUGAAGAAGUUACGACAUUCAAAACACAUGACCUGAGACAAACCACAAUAUAACACCGUAAAUUUCGAACGAAAAUUUUCAAUUUAAAAACACAUUUAUCACAAUUAUAAAGUCACAAAAUGUCACAAUUUCAAAUCAUUAAAUCUCAUAUCCAAAAACUAUAUAUAUCAAAACUCUAGGAUCCUCUUAAUUUAACUCUGUCUCCGAUGUGUGUAAAAUCAAGUCGGUUCCUUCCCGCGAUCCUGAGAAAACUAGAAACAGAUAACACAUAACACUGUAAACACGAAGCUUAGUGAGUUCCCCAAAAUACCACACACAACAUAUUAGCCACUCAAGGCUAUAACUUUGUAAGACCCUCUGGUCAAUGUGUCUCAGUGGGACCGUCCAGUCCCACCACUCUGAUGGACCCUCCGGUGCUAACUCUAUGAACCUUUCGGUCCUAACUCUGUGGACCUUCUAGUCCUAAAUCUGUAAACUCUGAAUAAUACAUAACAUAAAUCACAUGGAAAAAAAUGCAGUAUAUCACAGUACACAAAUAACAUAUAAGAUACUCUGUCACACAACUCUGAUUACCACUCUAGGUAUGUAUAGUGAGAAGACUCACCUCAAAGCUAGUAGGAGUAAAUACGCACUUAGCAUUCUCGAAUUAUCCUCUGCCUAAAUACAUUAGACAAGCAUCUAAUCAAUAUAUCUCUUUUACUCAUUAAACUCCUAAGUUCUCUUAUUCCAUUUUUAACCCCCGGGAUGGGUAAAAGACCCUCAUCCCUCCAAGGUUCCAGAAGCUCCUAAUUGACUCACUCAUAUUCAACAUAAGUCCCAUCGAGUCAAUAGUCCAAAUCGACCAGACUCGUUGAGUGCACUCGUGAGACUCGUCGCGUCUCAUCGUAUCUCAGAGAUCCUCAUAAAGUCUAACACGACGAGCAAACCUUAACUCGCCGGGUCAUCGCUUGACUCAGCUAAAUCGGGACAAACCCUAAACUACUUGUCGAGUUGACCAUAAACUCGGUGAGUCUAUUCAGACUCCCAUGCAUUCAGAAGAUUACAAGGCGGGAUUUUUUUCCCAAUCUUCAGACCUACACUAUUAGGGCACACAAGUCUUGUAAGUCAUAGACUUUACGUCCAUACAUGACAUCUAGAGCAAGAAAUGCCAAAAACAUGAACAAAAUGGGUUAUACAUACUUAAACCUUCACCAAAGCUAGAUAAAGCAAGGACCUCAAGGCGUUUGGGACCUCCUAUGGUCCAGAUCUGGGGUUUUAACUUCCUCAUGAACCCCAAUUCACAAAAUCCCUAAAAAUGAUGAUGAAGAAGAACCCUAAUCUACUAAAAUGAGAGAUCCACAUCAAUGAAAGGGAAAAGUCGAGUCCAAUACCUCCAACUGAAGCUUCAGCAUGAAAACCUGCAUAUCCAACACCCUUCUUUGAUCCUCUAGCUUGAACCCUCUUCUUCCUUGCAAAAACACCCACCAAAAGCUCAUAAUAGCUCUCUCUCUCUCUCUCUCUCUCACACACACACACACACACUCUAAGCACUCAAGACUCAUUUAGGGUUUUCUCUUCUGAAGGGUAGCCGCAAUAGGAGGCCUUAAGUGCCUUUAAAUAGGCCUCAAGCCUAGAAAAUUGGGGUUUCCUUUAGCAGUGCUAACUUGGUGAGUCAGCUAAUGGACUCGUCGAGUCCACUCAUUAAUCCACAUCACCAGCCACGACUCUACUCGACGAGUUAAGGCACCAACUCGUCGACUCAUCCAUGCAACCCAUAAAGAAAUGUUAUACCUCGGAACCAGGAUGUUACAAUUCUCCCCCACUUAAUUUGAUUUCGCCCACAAAAUCGCUCUUUAGCAUCACACAGAUAAAAACCCAAUGGCCCGGGAAGCACCCUCAAAAGGAUUUCAUACCAUGUAACUAUCUUCCUCCAUGGACACCUGAAUCCAAACUCCAAGAAAAGGACAGACCCAUCUGCUGCAAUGAUACCCCUUCUGGCUCUCCAGAAUCUAGAAACUCUAAUGGCCUGACUCACUGCCAGACCGCCCUCUCAAGAUAUUGUUGGAUUAGUGUCUAAGUUCAUAACUAUUUUGGUAUGUACUUGACCCAAUGGUGCAUGGUCCUUUUGUGUUGCUUCCACCAAAGCAACUUGAUAGGAUGAAUUAUGGAGAGAGAGUUAAUUAUGAUUUAUUAAUAUAUUAAAGGAGAAGUCAUAUUGUUUAAUUAAUAUUACUCAAGAAUUAAUAAGAAUUAAGUUUGUGGCUAAAAGACAUUAAUUAAACAUAAAGGGACUAGAACUGUCAAUUGUGUGAUAGUUGAAUAUUGGGCUAAUGGACUCUAUACUGGAGGGGUGGAUGAAUUCUAUGGGGAAACCCUUUAGAAAUCGUCCUAGGCCUCUAAGGAAGGAGUCCAUGGGUUGCUUAGGGCCUAAGCAGUCUAAUUAAGGUUUCCUUGUUUGAUAACCCUAAUAGCCUCACUAUUUAAAGGACCCUUGAGACUCAAAAACGUGGUGAACUUGUUCCUUAUGGUUUCCAGCCGUUUUUGGGUGUCUCCUCUCUCCUUAUUCUUCAUCCUCUUGCUCUUGGUGUUUGUGAACCAUUAGAGGAGUGACACUUGUGACUCUAAGCUUUCUAAAGUCAUUACAAGGAGGAUUUGAGAUUGUUAUUGCUAUAUAACAAUCAAGGUAAGAUCUAAAAACCAUUCAUAAGACAAUUUGAUUAAUUGUAUGCUAGAUCUAGGGUUUGAAGUCUUGGAUGAAUUGCAUGUACAAUAGAGAAACCUAGAUCCAAGCAUUAGGGUUUGCAUAAGCACAUAGGAUGUUCUUAUGACCAAAACCCAUCAGUGGUAUCAGAGACUUGAUUGGUUUCUAUUGUAUUGAUGCCUUGUAUGUUUGUUCAACUCGCAAAAUCGUUUUUUGGCCCAUCUGCCUGAUGAACUCGGCGAGUACCACAGUGUACUCAGCAAGUAGGCCUCAACUUGGCGAGUCUAGUGUGGUACUCGGCGAGUUCGAGCGACAGAUGGAGCAAUUUUCGGGAUUUCUUGCUGUUUUUCUCAUGGAUACUUGCCUUAUCUUUUUUAGGUCAUUAAAAUCCGAUUUUAUACAUAUUUAUGAGUAUAUCCUUGAUUAAACAAAAGAUAAUUACCAAUUGAUUAGAUAAUAACUUCCUUAUAUGAUUAAAGUUGAUUAUUUGUAUUUAUUGGGUAACUUAUUUUGCAAGAAAUUGAAAUUAGGUCAAAUAUAGAUAAUGAUAAAAUUAAUUGUUUAAUUUAUAUUAUUUGUUAUUUGAUCCUUAUGUUAUGAAAAGUUUCAUUUUUCCCCUUUAGGUUUUAUAGUUUAAAUUUAAACUCAAAAGUUUUUUGUUUUGAAAUUUAAAUAGUUGAAACCCUAAUGUUUUGAAAAGGUUUCAAAACUUGCCCUCAAGUUUUGGAAUUUAAAUUUUGAUUAAAAGUUUAAUUUUGAUGUAUAUUUAAAUUCUAAACCCUAAUGUUUUGAAAUGUUUCAAAACUUGCCCUCAAGUUUUGGAAUUUAAAAGUUGAUUAAAGGUUUAAUUUAGGAAUGUUAAAUUCUAAAACCCUAGUAUUGUUUUGAAAAGUUCAAAUCACCCCUCAUGGUUUUAUUAACUAAUUAAGGUGUAUAAUUAAAAGAGAUUGAAUAAAUCCAUAAAAGUUUUGGUUUACAAUUUAAUUCAAUUAAAGGUAUAAUUGUUAAAUUUGACCACCUAGUAUUUUUAAAAGUGUAAAAUACACCCUAUACUAUAUAUAACAUUAAAAGUCUAACAUUAUAUAUAUGUAUGAGUAAAAGUCAGUCUUACCGUUAGUAGGCCUCAUUCACGAAGCUGGUCUAUAAGGGGUGUUUAAGGAAAUUGCCUAUAAAAUGGCGAUUGAAUGGGUAUCCACUCUUACCCACCGCACUCUUGACUAGUGGAGGGUCGUUAGCCGAACGGGUAGGAUGGGACAGAAACCUUCCAUUAUAAGUAUUAUAAAGUACAAAAGUAACUAAAUGUUUUAGAAAUUCCCAAUCUUAGUUACUUUAGGCAAAAGAGAAUUGAUGCAAUUCCAUGAAAUUACACUCUGUACCCUUGCGAAAACGUUAGUGGAGCGUGUGUGGUUUACCAGCACACUAAAUGGUUCUAAGCAAAGGUAGCAAAGGGUGACUCAAUGUUUGUCAUAGUUCGGUGGAGCGUGUGUGGUUUACCGGCACAUCGAAUAGGUGACUGUAACAUGUGAGGGCACCAUGUAAGUUUGCAUGGUUAUUCACACCCGCUUUGUGAUCCUCGGCAUCCCAGUCACAAACUAGAGGGGCAUAUCGAGAUUUAAACAUGCCAU
rnacentral:lncRNA from 1 species